rnacentral:lncRNA from 1 species
GUGCUCUUUCCUCCAGUACUGGACGGCAUUGCAGAGUCAAGAUCAGCGACUUGCGAUGAAGGAUGGGGCAAAUGGCCUAACGCUGGCGACUAUUCAGCUGCUGCGAAGACUUCAGGAGUGUCAGGCGGCUAGGAUGACUAGGGGCAUUAUCGAGGCUAGCUGACUCCAAAACUUCUGUUUUGCUCAUUCGGCCCCCUGGAUGUGGGUCUGUAAGCGUUUGGAGUUUGCGCUAACUGCACUUGUUUCGCUCUUUCUGCCAUGCUACAUUGCUCUGCUGUAGGAAGCAGUUUUUUGGUGGCAGCAGGUUUUCGCCCCAUAGUGCUGUAAACCGAGCCGGCUGCAACACAAUGGGUUUCCUACUUGUGUCCGGAUGAUCCGUUUUCCCAUUCUCUAUUUUCUGCUUUUGCCAGAUGUAAGAGACAAAUGUUGUUUCCAUUUCUAUGGAAUGGAAAAUGGGGUCGCCCGAUUCAAAAAAUGCCUUAUCAAACGGUGCCACGGGACAAGAGAACUUUAGUCACCACAUGUUAUGUUUUUGAUCUUACAGAUUUUUGGUUUGUGUCCUUGUAGAUCCGUUCAUACGGAUUUGAUGAGUUUUUGCGAGUGUAUCAUAGACUCAUAGUGCUUUUGUUAAUAUGACCUUGUGGUUUGACGAUUCUAGGGGAUCAUCAUCGGCCCAAGUACGUUCAACAUUCGUGACUUUCCAUCUUAAUUUUUGGAUGGGCAACUUAAGGGGAUUUUUUAAGGAGUGAGUUCCAUUUUUUACCCCCUCUUUUGAAACUUUUUGACACAAUCUACCCUAUUUAAGGGCAUUUCCAAAAUUAUACCCCAUUUAAACAAACCUUUGCCAAUAAUUACCCCAUUUAAUAUUUUUUUCCCAAAUCUGAGCCUUCGGGUUCGGUUUUCUUCUGUCUCCAUGCUUAUUUUUAGUGAGAGAGCAUUUCAGGCUCCAUGCAGACCUGCGCGGGCGUGACUUGGGCCGUGAAUCCCGGAUUCAGUACAUAGCCAUCCAAAAGUGCCCAACGUGAGCCCUGCCCACAAUUCCCCGUCGAUUGCAUCCAUCUUCUCCUCUCUUCCUUCCAGCGGCAUCCACUGACAAGGGAGUACUUGCUUGAGCUCACAAUGUCCUGACAUGAAAAGUAGAUUAGCCACACCACAAACUAAACACUACACCAGCAGGAAUAAAGUUUGAGAAACCCCAAAAUCCAAUGAUAUGCGUCAGUCCUCUCUUCGUGACCACAAUCCCCAAAUCACCAACGAAAUCAGAGAUGAAAUACGUUAAGGAGAUGGAAAGGGAAAGGAAACGAGGCGGACGAAUGGACCUUCCACGAAGAAUCGCAAUUCCUGGAAUAUAUGGGGAGCUACGGAAUUGCCAAUCCCACUGGCUUCCGUUUCGCUGGCGACCUCGGCCGCGCCAUCUGAGUGCAGGCCUGGAGAAACACCGAGUUGAACCCGGCUCAGCACCCGCGGUGGCUGUUUUCUCCGCAGUCGUUGCAGCCUAACCCUAGCCCGUGAGAGACAGACAGAACGAACGAGAAAGAGAUACAGAGAAAGACGAACCGGGCAAGCCCAGGUCGGAUCGAACCGAACAAAACUGGCGCCUGACCUGAACCUGGCAGAAUCGGGCGGUUCGGCCCCAAAGGCCAGCGUGGCACGCCACGUAGGCCUGAAAAGGGGCCCCCACUCACCAGGAAAUGCCUGAUUUGGGGGGAAAUAUUAAAAGGGGUAAUUAGCGGCAAAGGUUUGGUUAAAUGGGGUACAAUUUUGGAAAUUCGCUUAAAUGGGGUAGAUCGUGUCAAAAAGUUUUAAAGAGGGGGUAAAAAAUGGAAUUCACUCUUUUUUAAACCUUUAAAGGUAGUUAACUUCGGGCAGGCACGAGUAGAGGUGUUGCCACUACAGUUUAACUGCGGUCACUUUACUAAGGCCUCGACAAUAUUUCAUAUUGCAAAGAUUGAUAUCAUGGACAAGAGUCUUCGAGAUGUUUCAUUAAACUUCUUGGUUAUAGGUGUUAAUUUGUAAUUUCCUGGGUCAAUAAUCCAAACACUAUACCUAUAAAGACUAUGGAGUUUGAAUAAAGCUACGGGUUAUUCUAAAAGAAAAUCAAGCCCCUAUUUUUUCGAGAGAUAAUGGCCCUAGGGUUGCCUCUCGUUUUCUCUCUUCUUAAUUACACGCAGAUUUUUUCUGAUGAGUGAAUACCACGUCCUAACGUUUUGCAUAAAUUCUCAGAAACUUCAACAAAUUAAGAUGGAGUACACAUGAUAACCUACAAGCGGGAAACUCUUGUUUCAGUUAUUGUUCGGCGUUCUUCCUUCCGCUGCAUGACCUAAUUCUACGACGCUAGCUUCCAAACAUGGCACGCUUUCUUUUACUUUUACUGAAUGAUAUUCAUUUUCAUCGGUCACACAUGGCAUCUUUUUGGAACUUUAUUAGGUAAAUAUUUUUCUAUCCGUAUUCGCGCCCAACGCAUUAAUUAGAAGCGUGUCGACACGGCUAUCCACAAACUAAAACGAUCACAGGACACCCCCACAUGCAAUGAAAAAUAUAAAAUGCUUCAAUAGAGAAAACACCAAUGCUUGGCCGUAUCUGUGUCGCCAGCCACCAUGCAUGUUAACGCCUAUCUGCCUACAUGCCAGAGACAUUGCUGAUUGGGAUCAUGACCUUGCUGAUCUUGUCAUUGACAAAACCGCCAAUGUCUACCGCAUCAUUAAAAACAGCAACACCUUGUUUGUUAAUGCCAUCGACGGUGUGCAUCUCGACUUGGUCAUGCCAUCGAUCCAGUGCUUGAAGUUGGCUUCUAGGGCGGCCAUCCAAGACAUGUAUCAACUCUCCUUCUUGGUGUUGAAGAUGUAUUCGUCAAACCCUAUGAUCUCGUAUUGCAUACCUUGAUCUUCUUCUCCCUCUCUAUCCAUGUUGUCACUCUUCUCUCUCUCUCUCUCUCUAGGAGAUUAAUUAUAAGUGAUGAGUCAUCGCGAUGGAACGGAUUGAGAAGAAGGGGAAGGUGAAACCAGGUGUAAUGUGAGGAUUUUAUGACUUGUAACACGAUGAAGCACACCAGCUUAGCGAUAGUUUGGAGGAGGGGCACGCGCGUAUGAGGUGUCGACUAUGGGGUAUUUUCGAUAGAUCGUCACAGGCACAACCCUAGGCCUACAUAAUGGAAUCUCGGAAAAAGUUAUGUGCCGACAUAACGGAAUGGAGGUAGUGCCCUAUACGGAACUACUCUGCGUACGACAGAAAUCGUAUGAUCUAUGUCCGAUGCCUAGGUGAUCUAUUGAUAUUUGCUUAGCCCGAAGGCCCAAGCCUAGGUGCCACGGUGGAUUUUGCUAAGCUUGCUAGCUAUUCAAAUCGUAUGAUUUGUGUCGUACACAUAGCACUGCUCUGCCCUAUACCUGCGGGGAAUUUAUCUUUUUAAAUAUUCUUGUUCUUGUUGCAUGAUCACCUAAUGCUAACGGGAUUCGAAAACGAGCUGCAUGUUCUUUUAUUGUGUUUUGCUAUACAUGUGUGAUGUAAAUUUAUCGGUUGUGAGGUAUUUUGCUGGGCCUUUAAUUGGUAAAUAUUUUUUUAUCAAAAUAAUUAUUUUAGCAAAUAAAUGUAAUUAAGGCCAUUAGACAAAUCUAGCAAGUGAGUGAAGACCCAUUAGUCGGACCACAGGGAUAGCUACAAACCGUCUACUCAGAAAUCCAGCACCAAACUUCCUGUCCCACAUGUCAGGGUGGAGAAAGAAAAAAACCACACAUCCCGCGAGUACGUCCGUCAGUCAGUCCCUAGCUUUUCUGUUCUCGGGCGAGGAAGAGCAUCAGCAGGCUGUGGCGGUGAAGAAGGCUGCCGAGGAGAAGUUAUUGGGGGUGAAGGAAGAGAUCGUUUCGGAGAACGGGGAGGAUCAGCAGCUAGCUGCCGUGGAGGUCCAGAAGAAGAAGAAGGCCAACAGGGCCAUGGCCAAGGAGAUGAAGCAGCCGGCCAGCAGUAUCAUGGACAAAGUACUGAAGAAGAAGUCAGCCAUGCGCUUGGAAUCUAUAGAGAAGAAGAAGAAGAAGCCUGCUCGUCCUGUUGAGAUCCCAGAGACGGAAGAGGUGGAGCCUGAGGAGGAAGCUGGGGUUGAAGGCGCUGAGGGCUAUGUCGCAGCAGGCGAGCAGGAGAAGGAAGACGAGGAGGGCAGCAACAAGGAAGGAGAGGAGGUCGUGAGCACAAGGAAGUUUGAGGGCAUCCUUGUGCUGACCAAUCCGGACAAAUACCAAGGACGACAAGAAAGUUGCAAACCAGACUCGGGCAAGCUUCAAGUCGCCGCUGCCAUCGCGCCACCAAUCGGACUACUGCAAGAACCAUGGGGCGAUCAACCGGCCGAUAGACAUCGAUCAGCUUUCUGACAGCGAGGGUGGCCAUUAUGGGUUUUACCUCCGUAUCAUUUUCCUUCGAAAAUAAGCAUUUGAGUCUUAGAUUCGUCUCACAUGCAAGUCCAAACAUAAUAAGUCAGCUUGAUAUAUUGCCUAUUUACUUUAUAUAUAUAUCUGCUAUUUGAUAUAGCUAGUUUCAUGAUCAACAUAUUGUUUUAGUAUAUAUACGUAGAAUGGUCACCAACGCUAUUUGGUCCCUAAUUAAAGAUAUCUAGACUAACUUUUACCGACAAUGGUCACUAAAGAAGAAUAUGUCAAUAGCUACCCAAUAUAACCAGUGACUAAAAGUAGAAUCAAUGGUUAUGAAGCAGAUGAUGGCGACUAGUGGUAUUUAGCAACCAAGGGAUAGUUGGUAAUGAAACAAAAGCAUUUUACCACCGUGUAUUUGGAUGAUGACUAGAUAUAUCUUGUAACCAAGGGAUGCUUAGUAACUAGAAACAUUUAGUCACCAUGCAUCCACCAAUCGGUGUGAACUCUCGGAGUACGUUGACUAGGGGUCUUAGAUGUUUAGGUUGAGGUCACCGCCACCCGCAUUGCUUCGGUUGCACCGACAGUCCUUCGAUGACAGGGGCAAAGCUCUCCAUCUUCGAUGUACGUGGAUGGAAGUGAAUUGCAGCAUGAGGGUCAACAAGAAUGGCCGCACCCAUCAGGCCGGCUCUGAGAGUAUGGUAUUCAAGAAAAGAAGUAAACCCCGGCCCGCGGUACCCUAGAAGCGGGAAACUUGUGUUUAUGUUCAUUCUAUUUUAUCUAUAAUAAGUGUUAUCUAACUUCCACGACUGCUCUUUUUUUUUCAAAACAAUAAUAAGCAUAUUUUUUUUUAUCAAAUGAUGUGAUCAUACCAAAUAAAUGCAAGAGAAACGAACAAUUCUAGCAAGUGUGCCUGAAGCAUGACUAUCUACAGUUACUGGACCACAGUGGAAGCACCAACCAUGACAGCUAGGCCCCGCAUACUACGAAUUGCUCUAUUUCUGAGGACUCUAAUGGAGGAAGAAUUUCUAUUUUAACAAGUCUUUCUAUUCCCCCCUCGAAAUAUGGCCUAAACGACAGUGCCAUAAUUUCGAUGAUUCAUGAGUCCUCUUUCUUUUCUUUUGUACUUUCUCUGACGCGGCAACAUGUUCAUUCACUUUACACACAAAAUAUACCUUUUCAUGUAUGGAUAAUAAAUAAAGCUCAUUGUGAAGGAAGGCAACACCCACAAAAUCAUUAUUAAACCAUAUGACACACUCACUACUACAGAAUACCCCUUCCAUGAACCCUCACCAGUGGCGGUUAUUUUCAUUCAAAACAUCACAGCCACUGGUGAGGUCACCAGUGGCGGUCAUUUCCAUGAAAAAAAUCACCGCCACUGGUGAGGGUCACCAGUGGUGGUCAUUUUCAUUCAAAAAAUCAUAGCCACUGGUGCGCACAGCCACCGGUGACCUCUUAGAACAGCCACUGGUGACCCCCCACCUACCAGUGGCUGUCCUAAGCGCGAACCCGCCACUCCGGAGACCGCUAAAAUUUGCAAAAAUCAUAACUAAUUCAAAACAAAUCCAAACAAUGUGAUUCUUUUUGCUGAAGUCUUCAUUUCUGUUCCUUAACACGUUGGAACAAUAAUAUCACAUGGUAUUUCUGAUAAAAUAUGAUUUUCUAUUUUUUAAUGCAAAAAAGAAGUAUUUUGUGAAGGAAGUACAAUUUUUAUGGUUCAAAAUGGAACCUAUGCAAUUUUCACAGAACUAGACCAUAAUUAUUUGGUUGUGUCCACAGGUUUUGAAUUUUAUAGCUUUAUUUAUGCUUUUAUCCAGUUAAUGAAUUUCUAGCGAUUUUCCAAAAGUAAUUCAAAUUUGAACUACAAUUGUGUGAUAGUUUGUUCGUAAAAAAUCGAAAAAAAUCAUUUUAAGGUACCCAAGUAAUAAUUAUGUAAGAUUCUUACAGGAUGUUGAAAUAUUCAACACCAUCCUAUGGAAAGUUGUGCCGACAAUUUUCACCCCAUCUUGCAAAAAUUCUAAUAAUAUGAAGCAAGUGUAAAAAAAAGUCAAUUCUUUGGCAUGGAAUCCUUUUAUGUGUACUAGUUGGCAAGAAAAAUGAUAAACUUGAAUUUGAAAAAUGUUUAGAAAAAUCUUUCACAAAAUGGACUAUGAAGUAUGAAUGUUUAUGAGUUUCAAGCCAAAUGACUAAAGGCACGGCCAUUUCUAUAUCAUAGUUCAUGAUAAUGAAUCCAAUUUUUGCACAAAGGUGCAUCUUUGCAUGCCCAACAAUAUUGUCAAAGAAUUUAGAAAUUUGUAGUUAUUAAAAGAAGUUUUUCAUUUUCUAAACACAAAAGAUGAUGUAUUUUGUGAAGCAAACUCUAUUAAUAUGGGUCAAAAUCGAUCCCAAUUUUCACACAAAAUAGACUAUCUAUAUAAAGUUAUAAACCAAUUCAAUUAUAAUCCAAAAUACAAGUAUAUUGUACUAAAAAGAAAAAAAGAAAAUGAAUUUUAGACCCUCCAAUGGCGGUUUUGCAAUAAAACCCGCCACUCGAGGUAGAUUUUGUUCAGGUUGAAACUGUGAUCCGUGUGCUGUAACCCGAUUGGUCGAAGUGGGAGGACCCGGAUCCGUGACGUGUAACAAUCGCAUCUGCUUAUUCUCAAAAUCGUGGGCGCCUCCUCUUUCUCCCGAGACUUCUUUCUCUCCCCCUACCUAGACUUCUCUGUUCCUUCUAUCUUUCCUCCCCCCGUGAGCUCUCUCCUCCCUCCCUCUCCUCUUCCUUCUCUCUUUCCUCCCCUCCGGCCUCCCUCUCCAGAUCCGUGCCGCCCCUCCUCUUCUCUCCGAACAGGCGCCCGCCGCCUCUCCUCUUCUCUCCUCUCCGGUCACGCACCCGCCCCCCUCUGUCUUCUCCCAGGCCCACCUCCCACCUCCUGCGGAUCCAGCCUGCCCCGGCCAAGACGUGUCCGGAUUCGGCCUCCCCUGGCCUAGACGCGGUUGGAUCCGUGCUCCACCGACCUCGAUGCCCCGGCCCCGCCGCCGCCCAAGCGCCCCUGACCCCGCCUUUGCCGGAUCCGGGCCUGCCCUGCCGCCGGGUAAGUUAUCUCUCCCCCUCGUCUCUCUCUCUCUCUCAGUCACACUCCACUCAGUCACACUCUCCCUCUCUGCCGCAGAUGACCGAGGAGGAUGCCGCCGCACCGCCACCGAGGAGACGAAGAGGGCGCUUGCCGGAGGGUUUCCACGCGGCCGCGAUGGGGGCCUGCGCCAUGAUUUUUUUUCCAGUUUGUUUAUGUACAGAUGUGUGAUUUGAUUUCUUGAUUCAUCUCGGUCUGUUCUAUCGAGUUCAUUAAUCGAUUUCGAUUUGUAAAUCCCAUGGGAGCCGGCCGCUGGCCUGCUUUUUUUUUAAAUCAUGCAAAUGUUAUCAGUGGCGGUGAAUUUGCACCGCCAUUAGAGAUCACAGCACCAGUGGCGGUGCAAGGACCCGUCAUUGCUGCUCACAGCACCAGUGACGUGUGGAUGGUGGCGGGCGACAUACCCGCCACCAACCCAUUUUUUUUACAGCCACUGGUAGCAUAUUCUGUAGUAGUGACUUGCCAUGUCCAAAAUGACAUUCAUAAUCAACUUUGUCCAAACGUGAUACACUAAUCAAGUUUCUUUGUAAUGAAGGAACAUAAAACACAUCUCUAAGCAGAAUCGUGAAUCCAUCGGGAAGCUCCAAGGAGAUGUCGCCGACAGCUUCAACGUCCGUUGGACUCCAUUUGCAACUUCAAUGCAUUUUUCGUUUCUUUGCGUAGUCCGCGUCGAAAGGAAUCCCUAUAAAGAAUUUGCGACAUGAGCAAUUGCACCAGAGUCAAUCCACUAAGUAGAUUUCGAAAACUGUGUAUACAAGGAUUCAUUUAGAAAGGAAAUGGAGUUAUACCAUUCUUUGUCAUGAUUGACUUUAGCCAUUCUGGGCAAUCUUUCUUGUAAUGCCCAGUCUUCUUGCAGUGGAGGCAUGUAUCUUUGUCCACUGGAAAAGACUUUUGCUGAUGCUGAUGUUGCAUGGGAGCUUUACCAUGUGGCUUUGAAAGAGAACUUUGAUUGCCUUGAUUGAAGUUAUUUUUCUUAUUAUCCCUCACAUAGUUCAGGGAACCACCAUAUGACUACUUAAUUCUGUCCUCUUCUUGCACACACAUGGCUAUAGUCUUUUCAAUAUCCCACCGCUCUGGUUGCAUAUUGUAAUUGACAACAAAAGUGUCAAACUUUUUUGGCAAUGAAGCCAUAACCAGAUGAACAAGUAUUGCAGGCUUAAUCUCUAGAUCAGCAUCCAUGGGCUUCAAUUUAGAAGCCAUGUUGCUCAUCCCGAGGAUAUGCUCUCUUAUGCCAUGUCCUCCUCCUGUGUCGCCCCCCCCCCCACCUUCUCCCAACCCUCAUCAUUCCUCCUCUCCUCCUGAACACAGUUAGAAAAUCAACACCCGGAAGUGCCUCACGUUCGAUGGAGGUGUUACGAUUUUGUUGCGAUAGGAGUAAAUCAGGUGAGAAUUAACUCUUAAUCUACUAGUCCCACAGAAUCAGAUUAGUCUAAUCGUAACAUAAUCGGAGUGCGAACUAACCAUACAAUCGACAACAUUUGGCUCUAUUGACAAUUGCGUUAAUUAACAUAGCAGGCGCGCACCUCGGCCCACGUCGAACGAUCCCGCUGCUCGCGGCCCUCUUCCUCCUCUUGGUUGUCCCGCGCCGGGCGGUGGCUCCUCCGCGCCUCGUCGCCGCCGUCGUCCCACUCCCGCGGGGAACCUUCCACGGCGUCGAUCGCCACCUUGACCAACCCCUUGAUGAGCCCCUCCAUGGAGUGGAAGCGGAGGUGGAUCCGACUGGCUGUUUGCUUGUUGGGAUCUGGGUGAGGGAGGGGUGGGGGAGAUUAGGAAGGCUUAAGCUCGGAGGGUGCGCCGUGGGUGGACUAGUCGGGUGGUUGAGGAAGGAUUUGCACGUGGUGAUCGCCGAUUCGGUGGGUGGAGUACUGUGGAUGGCCGACGACGAUGAGCUAGUAGUAUCCUGUUCGAUAAUUAACCGCUGCCGACAGCAGGGUCCAGUUCACCGCGUGGGAACUUGCCAACCUCCAGCGAGUCACUGCGUUGGCUGCCGUGACCCGUCUUGGGCCGUGCCUGGGUCUUAGCCUCGAGCCCGCGGGCCGGCACGGCACGGCCCGUUUAACAUUUUUUUUUUAUUUUCUACAGCCCACGAGAGGGAAAUCAGGACAUCACAAAAUAUUUGCAGAGGUACAGACUUGAACACGGGAUCUCCACCUCAAUAGCAAGUGGCCUGACGAGUUGACCACGUGAUGUUUUGUGCCUAAUACUAGUGUGCGGCCUUUUUGUAUGCUUAUUUGGUCGAAAAAAGUUAAUUGGGCUGCAACUGGACCGCUACUAACGGUGAGGCCCACCGUGCUAAACGGGCCUGGGCCGGCCCGACCGGGCUCGUGUGCCGUGCCUGGGCUGGGGUUUCGCCAGAACCGGCCGGCACGGCACGGCCCGUUUAUCGGUGGGCCUCACGGGCCUGGGCCGUGUCGUGUCAGGCCCGGACCAGCCCGCGCUAUAAUGGAGAUGCAUGCAUGCAUAUGGACAGUCGGCUUGGCCAAAGCUGAUAAGUACUAAUCAGUUUGGGCGAAGCUGAUUAGUACUUAUUGGCUUGGGCGAAGCCGAUUAGUAGUAAUUGACUUCGGCCAGGCCGACUAGUGCCUGUCGGUUUGGCCCAAGCCGAGGCUGUCUUAUUUUUUAAAAUUUCUCGAACUGCAUAUUUUUUUUAAUAUUGAUGAAAAAAAUGUAUUAUUUUAAAAAAAUUAGCCUGGACUGCCCAUGUCAGUUUUUGUUCUUCUUUCUGCCCAUGUCCAUGUCCGGUUAGGCCCCAUAAUAAGUAUACUGGACCUACAAGCCACGUUGGGCCAUGCUUCCAAUACACAAGAUUGAAUAAAUCAUGGGCCGACGAGCCCACCUUGGAGAUUUAUUCACGUGGUUACCAUUUGUGCCUUUGUAGUGGAGAAAAAAUAAGGUUUUGAGUAGCACAUCGUCCCUUCAAAAAAACAAGUAGCACAUCGUCUUCGUCUCGUCGGGAUUAGCCGGUUCACCUCGCCUCCCGUCAUAUUGUCUUGGGGGUGUGGGGUCAGGCUGGGCGUUCGGGUUUACCCGAUAUUUCGGGUAGGGAAAUUCAGGAUAUAGAAAUUUCGGGUUUUCAAAAAUGAUACCCGAGUUUUACCUGGAAAAAUGGUAACCCGAUAAUUCGCUACCCGAUAUUUCAGGUUCGGACUUCGGGUAAUCCCGAAUUACCUGCGGGACUGCGAGAGGUGGGGUGCCGUGGAGCUGGAGGUGGUCGCCGACUUCGCCGUGCCUCUCGCAACGUCGGCAUGAAGCGAACUACUGCAGAAAACGGAGGAGGAUGGGGGUCAGGGGAGUUGCAGCGGCUGCCAAGCUAACCAGGGCCAACUUGCUGCUGCUGCAUGCGUGCUAGGUAUAGGGGCAAAAGGAGAGCGUUCUUGGGCUGAGAGUAGCAUGGGCCUGAGGUGAAAAUUUUGUAUUGGGCUGCUGCGCUCCCAUAGGCUUUUAACUUAGUUCGGGGUGUUCGGUCAAUUCGGGUACCGUACAUUCCUGAAUUAAAUUCGGACUUUCCUGUUUCAAACCCAAGUUACCUCCUGAUAUUCCGGGCUUCGGAUCCGGGUUUUUCGGGUUCGGUUUUCGGGUGUCGGGUUUAUGCCCACCUUGAGUGUGGGGGGAGGGGGGAGGCAUCCAUAUCUAUACCAAUAUAUCAAAUUGGAGUCGGUGGUGAUGGUACGGGCAUCGCAGUACGUCCGCCCUCCCCGAUCGCUCUGCUACGCUGCCCUCUCCUUCCCCUGCGCGCUCUGCCGCCGCCCUCCUCCCUUGUGCGUGCAGACUCCUCCCUAUGUCCCUCCCUGACUUCCCUGCCCGUGCUUCCGUCGGAUCUCGGCAGCGCGCGUGGCAAUGAGAGGUGGAGUGGGCAGGGCGAGCGGUGCACUACUGGGCGGAAUCGAGCUGGGCGACGAUGGCGAGGAACUCCUCCUCGCGGCAGGGAAGCGGAGGCCACCGACCUGGCCGAAUCCGAACUCCUCCGCCGCGAGCUCCAUGAGCGCCCGGAACGCCGACUAGCAGAGGUAGCUCACGGGCACCACGAACCACCGCGCCUCUGCGCCCACGUACACCGCAAAGUACCCCCUCGGCACCGCCGCCGCCUCCUCGCCGGUGCCGUCGAGCAGCGCCGCCCGCUCCGCUGCCGCCUUGCUGCUCCUCCCGCCAACUAGCUGCCUCGGCGCCCGGAGGUUCGGGUACCCCAUCAUCAUCAUGGCUGGCUCUAGCAAGCUUCUCUCCCGGUCGAUUGAUUGAUAGAUCGAGAGAGUUCGAGACCAGUUAAUUAAUAUCGCACCUCCUCUGAAUCUCUGAUCCUCCUCCUCUGAUUGAAGCCCGAGAAAAUAAUGGCGAUCUCUGCGUCACGGGCUUGGAGAGGAGGAAGGGAUUAAGAGGAGGAUUUGAAGAGGAGAGAUCAAAGCAUGUGAGGUCUGGGGCUCUUUGGCAGCAGGUACAUCGAUCUUAUAUAGCACAGGCUGCACAGCUGGGGGCUGGGGCAAGGACAAGGGAGGCGAGAGUCGCUUGCUCGCCUUCUCUUCUCUUGUUCUUUGGUGCAAUUUUUUUUUACAUAGCUGGAGCCUUGUAGAGACUAUUGUUGAAAUUUCGAAGAAAUUAGGAAUAGCAUAUCUCGAUUACGAAAGGUAAUUUAGGAUAAUCCUGCUAUACAUCUUCGUCCUUAUUGUUUCUGUUGACGAUGGAAUCUGGAUGAGCAUUUAGCCACCGCCAGAACAGGGCAGGGAUCAUUAACUACGCCGGCUCCUGUAGGAUCGAUCUGGCUGUCAAUGACACACUGUAACACAAUAUGUUUUGUGUUACAGAAUAAGCAGUAUUGGUAAACAAUUAAUAUGGAGUCAAUGGUUUCUGUUCAUAGUGUCCUUCAACGAGAUUUGGAGCCAUUUUAUGUUGGCUAGGAUGAUCUGGUUCCAUAUUUAUCUUGUUUUAUUUUGCUGCCGGAUCAUUGAAUCAAUAUAUUAGCUAGCUGUACUAGCUGUUCCUCAAGCAGUUAUUCUGUUUCAGUAUCCCUUUUUUUUCCAUUUUCUGAAGAAGCAUGGUCCAUGGAUGAUGGUUCAGGAAUCCAUCUUUCGAGGAUGGAGAAAAAUAGUAUCUUUUAAAUUCACCGACCAGGCCAUAGAGAUUUGAGACUAAUGAAACAUUUUUGUUUAAAGACAGUGCACAAAUAGGUACUGUAGUACUUUUGGUUCCUGAUUUUUUAAAUGGAAAUCAUAUUUGAAAGUUUCAAAAAAAUCUGAAUCUUUUUUGUGUAUGUAUACACAAACCUACAUAUUUUCAUCAAGAAAUAUGUUGAUUUGUGAUCUGUGAAAAAAAAAACACAAAUCUGUGGGUCUAGAUGGUAAACGGGUUCACGAAGCUCUGCCGGCCGCCGUCACCAUGCUCAACAAAAGUAGAGGUAAGCAAUGUGGUGCUGGGCCAGAUUUGCAUGUUGUUACUUGUUACUGCCGUUGGAUUUUAGGUCUCUUUACUGUGUCCAGCAACACUACGAGAGCAUAGAGGAUAGGAAUAAUGAGUUCAGAGCCUAUUUGGUCCCAAGUAAUUUAUAUGGCUAUUUCUUUGAUGCCAACCAAUUCUGAAGUUUUACAAGCAUGUCUCUGGACCAGUAUGCACUCAUCCCAUUGUGUUUUUGUAAAAAACACACGCAACUAUGGGUUCUUUUACAUGAUCAAAUUCUGUCCAGUAUCUCAGGUAAAGCCUUGCUAGAGCUGAAAUAUUUGUGGUUCUUUCAUAGAUGCAGUACUGAAUAUUCGCCAUGUGAAAUAUUUUUCAUGCUUCAAUUCCAAGGCAAGAUGUCUGUCCAUUUAAAGUUAUUGUCCACCAGUGACGAUGUUGAGUCUAAGCUUUAUCCUGUGAUCUUAGUGUGCAUCAAAUCUAUAUUAUGCAAAGUCUGUGUUCACAAUUUCAGUAGGUACUAUCUCGUCUUCUCCGACAGUAGAGCACAGAGACAAAGGGUGUCUAGUGGCCGUCUGAUGGGAGCAUGGAGAGAGAAGCAUGUUCGUAGGUUUUGUUGUCUUAUGAUAGAGUAGAGUAUAAAGACAAAAUCUAUCGAAGAUUUUUUUUUAAAAAAAGUGAUGUUUGGUGGUCGGUGGUUUUCAAAGAAGAUCAAAGAGAAGUUUGACGCAUGUCUUCAAAUGUGCGGAGUAUCUUUUAUUUUGUUGUGCCGUUGCAACGCAUGGACAUUUCUGCUAGUUUAUUUAGUAAUAUGAGUCAUGCGGUCAUCAUCGACAAUGCUACGAUGGAGGGUGCGAUGCCGUCAAGAAUAAAGGUAACUUGAUUACUCCUUGUUGCGACAAUGCCUUAUCAAACACUGCCGUGGGACAAGAGAACUUUAGUCCACAUGUUAUGUUUCUGAUCUUGCAGAUUUUGGAUUUAUGUCCUUAUAGAUCAUUCAUAUGGAUUUGAUGAGUUUUUGGUAGUGUAUCAUAGACUGAUAGUGCUUUUGUUGGUAUGACCUUGUGGUUCGACUAUUCUAGGGGAUCCCUUGGACCAAGUACGUACAUUCAACGUUCGUGACUUUCCAUCUUUUUGGAUGGGCAGCUUAAGGAGAUUUUUGAAACCUUUGAAUAUAGUUAACUUUGCGCGGGUACGAGUAGAGGUGUUGCCACUACAGUUUAAUUGUGGUCUCUUUACUGAGGCCUCGACAUUAUAUUAUUUCGUGUUGCAAAGAUUGAUAUCAUGGACAAGAGCCGUCGAGAGGUUUCAUUAUACUUCUUAGUUAUACGUGUUAACUUGUAAUUUCCUGGGUCUAUGAUCCAAACGUACUAUACCUCUAAAGACUAUAUAUGGAGUUUGAAUAAGGUUACGGGUUAUUCUAAAAAAAUCAUGCCCCUGUAUUUUUGUGAGAUAAUGGCCCUAGGGUUGCCUCUCGUUUUCUCCCUUCUUAAUUGCACGUGGAUUUUUCUUUAUGAUGAAGUCCAAACAUUUUGCAUAAAUUCUAAAAACUUCAAAACAAAUUAAGAUGGAGUAAAGCGCGCCAUGUUUGGAAGCUAGCGUCGUAGAAUUAGGUCAUGCAGCGAAAGGAAGAACGUCGAACAAUAAUUAAAACAAAUUAAGAUGGAGUACACACGAUACCCUACAAGCGGGAAACUCUUGUUUCAAUUAUUGUUCGACGUUCUUCCUUUCAUUGGAUGACCUAAUUCUACGACACUAGCUUCCAAACAUGGCACGUUUCCUCUUACUUUUACUGCAUGAUAUUCAUUUUCAUCGGUCACACAUGGGAUCCUUUUGGAACUUUAUUAGGUAAAUAUUUUUCUAUCCGCAUUCGCGCCCGACACAGCCAUCCAGAAACUAAACCGAUCACAGGACAGCCCCACAUGCAAGAAAAAUAUAAAAUGACUGAAUAGAAAAAAUACCAAUGCCCAGCUAUAUCUGUGUCGCGAGCCACCAUGACCAUAUGUUAACACCUAUCCGCCUGCACGUCAGAGACAUUGUUGAUUGGGAUCAUGACUUUGCUGAUCUCGUCAGUGAUGACACCGCCAACGUCUACCGCAUCAUUAAAAACACCAACACCUUGUUUGUUAAUGCCGUCGACGGUGUGCAUCUCUCGGCUUGGGCAUGCCAUCGACCGAGCGCUUGAAGUCGGCUUCCAGGGUGGCCAUCCAAGACAUGGAUCAACUCUCCUUCUUGGCGAUGAAGAUGUAUAUUCUUCAAACCCUAGCAUCUCGUGUUGCUACCUUCUUCUUCUCCCUCUCUAUCCAUGUUGUCACUCUUCUUUCUCUCUGGGAGAUUAUAAGUGACGAGUCAUCAUCGUGAUGGAACAGAUUCAGAAGAAGGGGAAUUAAGGUGAAACCAGGUGUAAUAUGAGGAUUUUAUGACCUGUAACACGAGGAAGUACACCAGCUUAGCGAUAGUUCGGAGGAGGGGCACACGCGUAUGAGGAGUAGACUAUGGGGUAUUUUCGGUAGAUCAUCGCAGGCACAACCCUAGGCCUACAUAAUGGAAUCUCGGAAAAAAUUAUGCGCCCACAUAACGGAAUGGAGGUAGUGCCCUGUAACUGCGGGAAAUUUAUCUUUUUAAAUAUUCUUCUUCUUGUUGCAUGAUCACCUGAUGCUAACGGGAUUCGAAAACAAGCUGCAUGUUCUUUUAUUGUGUCAUGCUAUACAUGUGUGAUGUAAAUUUAUCGGUUGUGAGGUAUUUUGCUGGGACUUUAAUUGGUAAAUAUUUUUUGAUCAAAAUAAUUAUUUUGGCAAAUAAAUGUAAUUAAGGCCAUUAGAAAAAUCUAGCAAGUGAGUGAAGACCCACUAGUCGGACCACAGGGAUAGCUACAAACCGUCUACUCAGAAAUCCAGCACCAAACUUCCUGUCCCACAUGUCAGGGUGUAGAAAGAGAAAAGCCCACACAUCCCGCGAGUACGUCCGUCAGACGUCAGUCCCUAGCUGUUCUGUUCUCGGGCGCCACGCUGCCAGCCGCCAUCCUUCCGUUUUAGGUCUCGCGGUCACGCCGCUUACGCGCACGCGUUCCUUGCUCGCACAUCAGGGAGGCGGUCGCGUCAAUCACCAAUUCACCAUUUGCCUCCCCACAAUCCCCCCCAACCCCAACCCCCCAUCCACAAACCCUAGCCGCCGCCCCCUUGCGCGCGCCGCCGCCGCUCCCCAGCAAACUACUGCGACCAUGGUGCAUGAGCGAGAGCGAGCAACCGACAGCGAGCGCGCGGCAGCAAAUGAGAUCUCGCGAAGCCCGGCCGCGGACAAGAAGGGGAAGACGAAGGUUUCCGGCGGGGCUGGGCCUCAGCCGCCGCGGGGAGGGCGCGACAAGGUCGCGAACGGCGCCCCGACGACAAGGAAGGUAAAUCCCCAGAACAUAACUCCAGCGAAGCUCACCAUCGGCGCCGGAUCUUCUGCCGCCGGCAUAGAUGGGCCCCGUCGGCGUCUAAGCCGCGCGGAGAGGAACAGUCGGGAAGAAAAACGGCCCCGCAUCGUCAGGCGCGAGGAAGAGCAUCAGCAGGCUGUGGCGGUGAAGAAGGCUGCCGAGGAGAAGUUAUUGGGGGUGAAAGAAGAGAUCAUUUCGGAGAACGGGGAGGAUCAGCAGCUAGCUGCUGUGGAGGUCCAGAAGAAGAAGAAGGCCAAGGAGAUGAAGCAGCCGGCCAGCAGUAGCAUGGACAAAGUUCGGAAGAAGAAAUCAGCCAUGCGCGUGGAAUCCAUACAGAAGAAGCCUGCCCGUCCUGUUGAGACCCCUGAGACGGAAGAGGUGGAGCCUGAGGAGGAAGCUGGCGUUGAAGGCGCUGAGGGCUAUGUCGCAGCAGGCGAGCAGGAGAAGGAAGACGAGGAGGGCGGCAACAAGGAAGGAGAGGAGGUCGUGAGCACAAGGAAGUUUGAGGGCAUCCUUGUGCUGACCAAUCCGGACAAUACCAAGGACGACAAGAAAGUUGCAAAGCGGACUCGGGCAAGCUUCAAGUCGCCGCUGUCAUCGCGCCACCAAUCGGACUACUGCAAGAACCAUGGGGCGAUCAACCGGCCGAUAGACAUCGAUCAGCUAUCUUACAGCGAGGGUGGCCAUUAGUUAGGUUUUAGCUCCGGAUCAUUUUCCUCCGAAAAUAAGCAUUUGAGUCUUAGAUUCCGUCUCACAUGCAAGUCCAAACAUAAUAAGUCAGCUUGAUGUAUUGCCUAUUUACUUUUGUGGUUUGUACUUCUAUUUGGGUAAGUUCUGAGAGUCUGUAGUUUUGUGAGAUGUAUACUGUCAUUAUGCAUUACUUUAAUUUGGAACUGGGUUUAUUCUUCGAUGAUAAGAUAGCCUUGUUAUUUGUCAUAUAUAUAUCUGCUAUUUGAUAUCUAGUUUCAUAAUCAACAUAUUGUUUUAGCAUACGAUCUAUAUCUAAUUCUCACUGUGCAUGAAGUACCUUGAAAAAAUUGAUUUGGUUGUGAUAUCUAGAUCUGUUGAGCUAUAUAAGAAUAGUACUGCACAUAUAAAUGAUUUUCCAAACAUUUGUUUUCUAAACGAUUCUCUAGAAACGUGGUUUCCCCAAUUGUACUGAACUGGAAUGUGCUAAUUUUAUUUUUGAAGUGCUACUUAACUUUUUUUCAUGAAAAGAGCAUCAUUGUUGUAUCAUGACUUCGUGGGCUUUUUCUUCUUCAAAAAUAGGUUGCAGUAUGAUCCUUUAUUGACAACCAAGCAUGGAUCGGACGAUGCUUUGUAAGAUCUUUGCUCAUAAGUUUGUAAUACUAGAUUAGCGACCCAUGCAUAUAUUUGCGCACAGUUAGGUUUACUUUAUAUUAUUAUGUUUCUUUUUCGGUCAAUUUUUCCUAGUCAUGAAAUACUUGACUAGGAUAUACUAUCUUUGAAAAAAAUAGGGCUUCAGAAACAUGAUUAGAUUGUGGUGAAAAUGUGUGUGUCUUUAUUUUUUGAUAAGGACUUAAUGUGUGACUACGAAUCUCUAUGCAAAUUAUUUAAAAUUACAAUGAAACGUAAUUGUUUUCUUAGCUAGCAUUGCUUGGUUGCUUUUCUAGCCAAUUGAGAGUGGUUUUCCUAUAUCAUAAUUCAAAUUGUCAAAUUGGACUUGACAUCAAUUUUCCUUGCUAAGUUCGGGAGACAUGUUAGUUUUGUGUCCUACACGUACACGUUUUGUUUUGUGGUUGUACUUGUUGAUCUCAGAUCGAUCAGAGAUUAAAUCACUUGUGUGGGAGAUUGUAAACACAACCGUACAUAACUAAUGGAUGUUGAGAUAAUUUAACUUAUGUGGAUGAACGGUACUGUGUGUUCCUGUCCUUUUGUUUUAGUCAUUAUAUAAAGAUAAAUUAUCAAGAUGUUUUUGUGGAAAAGGACCUUAGCGUCUUGAGAAGAGAAUUUAGUAUCACUGCCGCGAGCGCAAGAGUGCAGCUCCCUUUAACCUGUUGGUUUGGGUGAGUCGCUUAAUCAGCUUGAUAAUGCAUGCAUGCAUUCUUCCACACUACUCGAGAGAUGCUGUUGAUACACCAUGCAUGCCUUCCUACCCUCUUCCAGGCGCUAGAGCCCACGAUAUGCCUAACAUUUGCGACAUUGCAGGUUACGAUACCUGUGCGCACUACUGGAGACAUGGCGUUUAGCCACCGAUGAGGAACUUGGUUGCUAUAAUUAAGUCCAAAAUUUGUUACUAUUGAUCUAUUAUCACCAACACUAUUUGGUCUCUGAUUAAAGAUAUCUAGACUAACUUUUACCGACAAUGGUCACUAAAGAAGAAUAUGUACAAUAGCUACCCAAUAUAACUGGUGACUAUAAGUAGAAUCAAUGGUUAUGAAGCAGAUGAUGGCGUAGUGGUAUUUAGCAACCAAGGGAUAUAUUGUUGGUAAACAAAAGUAUUCUACCACCGUGUAUUUGGAUGAUGACUGGAUAUAUAUCUUGUAACCAAGGGAUGCUUAGUAACUAGAAACAUUUAGCCGCCAUGCAUCCACUAAUUAGAUGUUUAGGCUGAGGUCGCCGCCACCCGCAUUGCUUCGGUUGCACUGACAGUCCUCCGAUGACAGGGGCAAAGCUCUCCAUCUUCGGAUGUCCGUGGAUGGAAGUGAAUUGCAGCAUGAUGGUCAACAAGAAUGGCCGCACUCGCUCUGAGAGUAUGGUAUUCAAGAAAAGAAGUAAACCCCGGCCUGCGAUACCCUAGAAGCGGGAAACUUGUGUUUACAUUAUUGUUCGACGUUGUUCCUUCUAUUUUAUCUAUAAUUAAUAAGUGUUAUCUAACUUCCAAGACGGCUCUUUUUUUUCAAAACAAUAAUAAGUAUAUAUUGUUUUUAUCAAAUGAUGUGAUGAUACCAAAUAAAUGCAAGAGAAAUGAUCGAACAAUUCUAGCAAGUGUGCCUGAAGCAUGACUAUCUACAAUUACUGGACCGCAGUGGAAGCACUGUUGGAGCAGCUCGCCUCUGCUGCUCCUGUUCUUCUUCUUCCUCGAGCUGCAACUAGCCGCAGGCUUCAGCCCUCACGAUCUCUCGAUCUCUCUCUGGCUCACGUCACAAGGAAACAACUCCACACAAGGAAAGAACAGAAGACAAUAUUUGGCUACGUGCCGCCUCACGCAGCAGCGUAAUUUUCAUCCUUCCUAUUCUCUUUCUGUUGCCAAAAUAAAGCUGACUACAAUGACUUAAAUACACAUGCACACGAUUAGGAAACUAACUAAUCUAUCCUGAAAUUGUGCCAUCACGCAUGCACUUAACUACCACGUUCGGGCGGCCUCGUUUACUCCUGGAAUCUCUCCACGAUCAGCUCGAGACUCGGCCAUCUUCUUCCCCACGACUAACAGCUCCACAGCUCCGGACAGCAGCAGCGCCAAUACCACUUCACAUGGCUCAAACGGCAUCUCACCUCCGUCGCAUCGCACGACUCCCUGGCAUCUCGCCUCACCAAGAAAACAACAUGCAGAUACAAAAAUCAAGAUUAAGCUAACAAGCACCAACCAUGACAGCUAGGCCCCGCCACUACCCAUGUCCCAUGUAUCAGAGGUGCUUAGAAAACGCGCCCCGCUCAGCUCAUAACGUCAUCACUCUUCUUUUACUUCUCGGGCAUGCCAUCCAGCCAGGCAUCGCUUCAGUUUUUUGGUUCUUGCUCGCGCUCACGCGCUCCUGCAGUCCUGCUGGCUGCUUGUUCUCUCCAUCGCCCCCCGCUCCCCAGCCAUUCCUUUAUACAUUUUCCUUCGAAUAAAUCAGUAAUUUAUUCAUUUUCCUUCGAAAAUAAGAAUUUGAUUAUUAGAAUCCGUCUCACAUGCAAUUCCAAACUUGAUAAAUCAGCUUGGUUGCGCUUGCUGACAAAAAAAAAUCAGCUUGGUUGCUAUUUAAUUUUGUGGUUAUUUGUACUUCUAUUUGGGUAAUUCCUGAGUCUGUUUUUGUGUGAUAGUACUGCCAUGCAUAUGCAUGUACUUUUGAAACUGGAUUUAUUGUUCGAUAAUAAGAUAACCUUGUUUUUCACCAUGCAUCUAUAUGUCUGCUAUUUGAUAUAGCUAGUUUCGUGAUCAAUUUUGUUUUAGUAUACGACGUAGCUAUCUAAUUAUCACUGAAUUAUGAAGUACCUUGAAAAAAUUGAUUUGGUUUGUGAUAUCUAGAUCUGUUGCACACAUAUACAUGAUUUGCAAACAUUUAUUUUUCUAAGCGAUUUUCUCUAGAAAUUUGGUUCCCCAAUUGUACUGAAAACUGGAAUGUGCUAAUUGAAUUUUUGGAUGAAAAGAGCGUCGUUGUAUCAUUACUUCAUGUCACUUUUUCCAUUCAAAAUUAAAGGGAGGCAUAUGCACUUAUGCAGUAUGAUCCUUCAUGGACAACCAUGCUUAUGGACGAUGUUUUUUUAAGAUGUCUGUUCAUAUAAUGAGCCCAAGAUGUUCCUGUGGAGAAGGAGUACCUGAACGUCUUGAGAAGAGAAGUUAGCAUCACAGCCCCGCGCAACAGUACGUGCAGCUCCCUUUAGGAGCUGAAACUGUUGGUUUAUUUGUGUGAGUCGCUGAAUCAGCAUGAGAUAGUGCAUUCAUGCAUACCUCCUUUCAUUGUAUUCCUUUUUCUUUCUUUUGUGCUCCUUUUUCUUUCUUUCUUUUGCGACAAUGCAUGCCUCCCCUUCCAUUGUAUUCCAUUUCUCCAGAAAGAUGCUGAUGAUACUGCAUGCAUGCCUCCUACUCUCUUCCAGGCGCUAGAGCCCAUGUAUGGAAUGCCUAACAAUCAGGAGUUCAGGACAUUGCAGGUCACAAAGCUGUGCGCACUACUAGACAUGGCAUUUAGCUACCAAGGGGCUUGGUCGAUCUCUAUUGUCACUAAACAUAUCUGGACUAAUUAACUUUACCGUCAAUGGUCACUCAAGAGUCAAUAGCUACUGCAACUAUAACUUAGUGGCUAUGGGUAGAAUCAAUAGUUGCGAAGCAGAUGCCAGUGACUAGUGCUAUCUAGCAACCAAGGGAUAUAUAUAGUUGGUAAACAAAAGUAUUAACAACCUGCUUUAAUGGAUAACUAGCAUGAUGGCCCUCGCAAGUGCGAAGGCAUCACCUAGAAGUGUCCGAUAAAUAAUUAUUGUCUCAAUUUGCAAGGGCGUCACCUAAAAGUCUCAAAGAAAUACUCAAUAUGCGAGGACAUCACCUAAAGUUGUGCAAGAAAUAAUUUAUUGUUUGUAUUGUUUCAUAGAUUUUAGAUUAUGUAACUAAAAAUCAUACUGUUCAAUAUCAAACAGAUACUAUAUGCUAAAUAAAAUACCACCUUCAUGGGAUCUUCCUUAAUUACCUUUAAUUUGUGGGCGUAAUUGUGGCCUUCCUUACAUACCACACUAAUGACCACAUGUGUCUUACACAGACAAAAAAUUGAUCAUACGUGUAUGUAUAUAAAAACUAAAGUCCAGAUGGCAAGCUAUCCCAUAGUUUAUCAUUUAGAGGUUAAAACUCAUAUUGUAGUGGUCGAUAGACAGAUAUGUAGUUACCAAAACCUUUAUGUUUAAAAAAAAUUAGGAUCUAGUUAGAUGAUCUUAGGCAUGCCUAUGAAGAUCUACCAAUUGAUGUCCAUGGUAUGAAUGGUCAGAUGAUGUAAUUUGCAAUUAUAUAUGAAGCAUAAUAUCAAGUGGUUUAGAAAUAAAUUUGUUGUAAACUCACUGAAUUCUACUACUCCCACCAUUUCACAAUACACCUCAUAUAGAUUUAUGCACUUGGACCAAGGAAACUCUUGUUUCUAGUGCCUGGCCAUUCCUAUUGGAUCAAAUUAAAUGGAUAUGCAUAGUUAUUGGCUAGGGGCGGGAGCCAAGAGAAAAGUGAGGUGUAUUGUGACAAUUGAGAAAAAAAAUAUAUGAGUUGUUUUGUGAAAUGGAGGGAGUAAGUAAUCACACAUAAUUGAACUAACUACUUCCAUACAACAAUCCCACUACAAAACCUGAUUUAGUCUCAAUUCUCAAGUACAUAACAAACACAAUAGCAUAGUAACAUCGAGUCUAUGAUUGAAGUCGGUGCGUCCCUCGAGUAACUCAGCCUAUGAAACUUUUUUCACUUUAUUUCUUAUUAUCUCGAGUGAUAUAUAGUAACUUUCAGAUAUUUAUCAUACCUCGAACGACAUUGUUCCUAGAACAAUAAAUGGUAAAUACUAUGCAGUAGAUUUUGUUUUUGUAAUUUCCUGCAAGGAAAGAGCUAAGAAAUAUUUUUCAGAUAUUUCUGCAUUUACACAUAUUAAGCACUUAAUUUGCCUCCAGCGUACAUGUGUAAGUGUAUGUUUGCACUACACAACAACUAAUUGAACUCAUGUUGGCACCACAAGUCAUUCCUAGAUUUCUCUACAGUUUUAUUUGAAAAAACAUAGCUCGAGAAAAUUCACCAAAAUCAUCCAUCAAUUUGGAUGGACAGAUAUCAUAUCAAUAUGCCAUGACCCAUGAGUAAUUAUGUGAUGUAGAUAACAUGAAAAACAGUGGAAGGACAUCAUAUGGAACAUGAUUUACAGCUAUAGUGAAGGCAGUAAUAAGUUUAAACUAUAUAUUAUACUGACAGAACUCCAUCAUAUAAAACCAAGAAUUUACCAAUAGUAAAGAAGAUAGUUGGGUCAGUUCAUCCACUUGGGUUGUUUCCCUUUCCCGUCCAUGGUAACGUCCAUGGCAGCUUCGUGGACCAACAGUAACUUAUAUACAGAGAGAACCUAUUUAAUUAGUUUUCAUGAGUGUACUAUAUAUACCCAUUUUAAACCAAUUGUCAGAGUGUGCUUUAGUGAUUAUUAAGCGAACUAAAGACUAAAAUAUAAAGAGGAUAAUCUAUUAGGUGUACAAUCAAUGACUGAUGAUGUACAACUGAUUUUUUAUUCAAUACAAUGAGUUUCAUCAAUAUUGACUUCAUCCAGGUCACGUAAUUAUAAUGGCAAUAUGUUCAAAACAUCCUUUACCCUUUUCAUGGGUUCCAAAGGAAUGGAGACAAUUAGUAGAGUGGGACUGUAGCGAGAUCUCAGCAUAAAUAUAGUGCAAGUUACAUUAAUUAGACAAUAAGCAACAACACCUAAAAAUGAAAUAAUUUCUACUUUAUAUGCGACCUGCAGGCUCCAUGAUUAAUAUACCGCAUGAUCAAUUUAAAAGUUAUGCCUGCAACUUUAAAGAUGAAUAUGAUACCUCCAAAAAAAGUAAAAUAAAUGUGACGAUAUAAAUUCACUAAGGAGCUUGCUUGCUUUUCUUUGCUCUCCUUUGAUUUUGUUUUUCUUGUUUUUAGAAGGCUAGUAAGCAUCUACCCCGAUCAUUAGAAAUGAAUCAGGUUUUGCGAAUUAGUUUAGAACCACAACAAAUACAUUUAAUUUUGAUGCACAGACCAUAUUUCUUAGCCACAACAAUAUAAACCAUCAAUUUAUCCUAGAAGCAACCCAAAAUUAGUGAGGAAAAAGUGGUCAUGAUUUAGAAAUUCAGUUUUCUGGACGUAAUAAUUUGGAUUUGCACUUUUCUUUAGUUCAGAUGCUGCAUAUACCAUAGGAGAUGCAAUCAGAAUGAGAUUUGGCUCACCGGUACUUGUCAUACCAAGCAUCAUGACAUAGAGGUUUCGGGAGAUUAACUUUGAUGUAGAAUCUAAACAAUAAAAUGUCCACAAAUUUGUACGACACUUGCAAGUAAAUUCUAGUCUGUUAUUUGAAUGCUACAUGUAGGCUUACAAAGAUUCCAUUGAUAUGUACAUUUCAGUACUUCUAUGGCAGAUGUCCAAAUUUAUAGCUAAGAAAGAAAAACUGAAAUUGAUUAAUAAAAAAUAAAUAGUUUAUAUGACAUCCAUUUAGAUUGAUAAGUACGUAUUAACUUGUGAUAUUAGAGAUGCUAGAAGAAGGCUGGACUGGAAUUUUUACAGCACAAAGGAGAAUACUCCCUCCAUCUCAAAAUAACUAUCAUGGAUUUCAGGAGAUGAGGAAGAAGAUCGGCGUCGACGUUAUCAAGUAGAAGUUCGUUUUGAUCUUAGGGGGAGAAUGUAAGCUUAAGAUGCAAUCCGAAUAGAAUUAGUUUUCUGGUUGAAGUAGUAGUCCUACUCGUAUUGAGUUUCGGUGUUAGAUGUUGAGUCGGUUUUGUCCUGGCCGUGUAUAAAAGUAUGUGUAUACGGUCCCUGUAACUCUUAACCCCAGAAGAAAAAAAAGAGAAAGGCAAGGCUCGACACGAGCCUUUGUCUAUCCACAAACUCCAAUCUGUUUUCCCAUGCGUGUGUGGCUUGACGUGAGUACUGCUCUGCUUUGCUAAUCGAUUUGCAUAGCGUUGCUGUUGUACGUGCGCGUCUGGCCGGAAUCAAUCAGCUUGCUAGCUGAUCGUGGUUGUUGCUUGCGUAGGAUUUGGGCCUGAAUUCCAACAGAGAUUGGAGGAUGGGAUUCGGGGAUCGAAUAGCGCACAAUCGGGGCUGGGAGAAGACGGCAAGAAAGGAACAGAGAUCCCUCACCUCUGCUAGGUUAAACAGGAUCCAUCGGUCCUAAUUUAAUGAGGCAUCAGAUCAAUGGCUAGAAUUUUUGCUUUUUUGUGGGAUUUUCUAGCGUCCUAUCUUUUUUGUGGUUGCUCCGUACUUUCAGUAUAUAAUAGAUGACCACAUAUAUUUUGUAACCAAGGGAGAUGCUUAGUAACUAGAAAUAUUUAGUCACCAUGCAUCCAUUAACCGGUCGGAACUCUCAGAGUUGACUAAGGUUUUGAUGUUUACAUUGAGGUGUGUCACCGUCACCCGGAUUGCUUCGGUUGCAUCGCCAGGGCGGCCUCCGAUGACAGGAGCCCAAAGCUCUCCAUCUUCGGGUGUGUGAGCGGAAGUGAAGCAACAUGAGGGUCAACAAGAAUAGCCACACUCACGCAGGCUUCAACAGUAUGCUAACUCAAGAAAGAAAAGGUGCACCCAUUGAUACCCUAGAAGCGGGACACUUGUGUUUCCGUUAUUGUUCGACGUUCUUCGGUCUAUUUUUACCAAUAAUAAGUGUGAUCUAACUUUCCAUGAAUGCCCAAGAUUUUUUUUUAUUUCCAAACAUUAAUAAUGUAUAAUUGUUUAUAUCAAAGUUGAUAGCAAAUAAAUGCAAUAGAAACAGACAAUUCUAUCAAGAGUGUGCCUGAUCAGCAUGACUACCUCUACACUUACCAGACCGCAGCGGAAGCACCAACCAUGACACAUGGCCCCCACCACAACCCAUGUCCCACGUAUCAGAGGAAGGGGGCAAAGACAAAAGCCCACGUGCGCGGCGCAACCCGCGUUCAUCUCAUCACGUCACCACUCUUCUUUUUCUUCUGUGGGCAUGCCAUCCAGCCAGGCAUCACUUCAGUUUUCGGUUUUUGCUCGCUCACGCGCUCCCUGCUUGCUCCUUCUCUCCAUAUAUCGCCUCCCCCAGCCCCAGCCCCAGCCGCUAGAACCCAGAUUCAUAUACUCCCUGCUUGCUCCUUCUUCUCUCCAUCGCCACCGUACCAAGCUAUCUCUGCCAUGGCCCGCACCAAGCAGAGGCGCCCCGUUGCCUUCCGGCCGCCCGGCGGCGAUGCUGCCGGCCAAGCCAGCGCCCCACCCACAAACCGUGCGACUGGCAGUGGCAAGAACCAGAAGAGGGGAAGUGAAGAUGAAGGGCGCCGCAUCGCUGCGCCUGCGCCCGAGCGCGCAGAUCCACCGGCAAGGGAAGAAAAGAGAGUGAAGUUGGCAGAAGAGGAAGAGGGGGGAAAGGAGGCCGGCAAGGGAGAAGGUAAAGGCCACUACCGCGCCCUUCGCAUCCGCGCCUCACGCGGAUCGGAAUUGCUGCAAUACGAGGAAGAAGAGGCGGUGAAGGUGGAGGAGGACGACGCCGAUGACGUCAUCGUCGUCGACGAUGAGCAGGAUACGCUGAGCACAACGAGUACUGCAAGAAGCAAGCCGCGCUCGACUGGCAGAGCUAGAGGUACUCGUUGAUCCGCUGCCCGAUCGAGAGCGAGUCAGGCUGAUCCGUAUCUUUUAAUUUCCUAUCUGCGUCUGCUAGAAUCUUGCCGUCUCAUGAAUUAAUCCAUAUGCAUGGUGAUCAGCUUUGACCUUUGAUAGCUAUUUCUGGUUAAUUUCUGCUUUCCGAUUCGGUUCGAAUAAUUUACCUGUCCUGUGACUCUAUUGUUGUGUGGAUUAACUGGAUAAUGUGCUAUGGAACUGGGUUUAUUGUACUAAAUUUCUAAUUUUCUAUUAUCGUGUCGAAGUGUGGUGUGCAUAUGUGCUAUGCAACUUAAUCGGUUGAUUGUAUUGAAUUAUUGUUGUUGGUUUAUGAGUCUCUUGGUUUAUAGAAAAAAAGUAUAUUUUUGUCCCUCAAUUGGCAGUAAAGUCUAGAAAUGAUUACACUCAAUUCGAAAUUGUAUACAUUUAGUCCCUCAAUUGGCAAAAUCGGAUAGUUUUGGUCCCUCUCCCAGAUUUUGAAGUGUUUUGAAUCUAUGUUGAGCUGUUUGCCUCCUAUAAUUUUCCACUCGGAUGUCUCGAUAGCAUUAUUUUCCUACCUGUCCUUCAAAUAUGAAUUGUGGCAUCCGAUCUGGAAAAUAUCUUAGGGAAAACGGUGUCACGUGGAGUCAAAACCACCCAAACCCGAAAGAGGGACUAAAAGCAUCUGGUUUUGCCAAUUGAGAGAUCAUAUGUAUAUAUAUGUAUGUAUAUAUAUGUAUGUAUGUAUGUAUGUAUGUAUAUAUGUAUAUAUAUGUAUGUAUGUAUGUAUAUAUAUAUUUAUAUAUAUAUAUACAUACGUUUUUUAGUUGAGUGGAGGGAUCAUUUCUAGACUUUGCUGCCAAUCGAUACUUAAUUAAUUUGUUUGUCAAAUAUAUAUGUUGGUUUGAUAUAGGGCGAUAUUGUUUCAUGAUCAACGUUCUGUUUUUUUACAGUAGUUCUGUCGAAUUCUCUGCAUAGGAAAAUUUUAUUUAGUUGCCGGCCAUCUCUCUCUGUUGGCGCAUAUAUAGAGUUAAUGAUUUGUAGGCAUUUGUUUUCUACACGGUUCACAUAUGUGGUUCCCCAAUAUCUUAGUGAAGUAAUUUAUAGCAUGUAAGAUUCACACGAAAUUGCUAGUUUAACUUCUAAGUCCGAAAAAACAUUGAUGUAUCAUGACAUACACGAGAACUUUUGCCACAAAGGGAUACAUUAUGCAAAGUGAUUCUUAUUGACAAGCAGUUACGGACUAUGGACGAUAUUGUUGUGAGAUCGAUCUCUGUUCGCCCAAGAGGUUCUUAUGAAUGAAUUUAAGAUCUUGAGAAGAUAAAGUAUCAGAGUCGCAAGAUCGAGGUUCAGUUCCCUUUUCAUAAUGAAUGCAUGUCUCUUUCCACUCUCUUCCAGACGCUAGAGAGCAAUGCAUGAUGCAUCGGAUGCUUAUCUAUAUUGCAGAUUUGCAUUGCAAGCCAUAUAUAUGCUGUACGCGAUUAAUCUGGUGUGUAAAUUAUCUCUGUGAGAAUUUUAUUCAUAAGAGAGAUACAAUAAUAACAAAAUGUGUGUGAUAUGACCACGCGUGACUUGAGCAUAUAUAUGCCCCAAUACUGGUGUCUGGUGGGUCACAUCAUCGUUGGGAUCCUGAAGACUCCGUGUAUCCAUUCCAACAGCCUCCUCAGCCUGAGAUCGCCGGCGGAGCAGAUGUUGCAGGCUGCAUGAAGUCUUGUUUUCAUCACAAGUUUUCUGAUUGGUAUUUUCGUCAGUUGUUGUUUUGGCACAAAUCAUUGGGAUGAAAAAAAAAAUAGAACAUGGUCUAAAAUUAUAGACAAUAGUAUAUAAUUGCCUUUAAACAUGUACUCCCUCCGUUUUACAAAAUGCAAAAUGUUCUAGCUUUUUUCUAAGUCAAACUUUAUUAAAUUUGAGCACGCUUAUAUAAAAUAUACUAAUAUCAAAGUUUUAAAUAACGUGCUCAGACAUUUAACAGGAGAUUAAAAUCAGUGCUAAAGCAUCUCUAUAGCGUGCUAUUUAAAUUUGUUUCUUUAGUACCGCUGCUACAGUUAGCGGCAACGCUAUAGCGCCGCUAAAGCGUGUUAUUUAAGACUUUGACUGAUAUCUACAAUAUCAAAUAAGUAUAUCACUAAUAAAACUAAUUUAGUGUUGUAGAUGUUGAUAUAUUGUUCUACAAACUUGGUCAAACAAUAAUAAGCUAGUUUGAUUCAGGACAAAGCUAGAACCCUUAUAUUUUGGAACAAAGGGAGUAAUUUUAGUCUGUAGCAAAACUUUGACUGUUAUCUACAAUAUCAAAUAAGUAUAUCACUAAUAAAAACUAAUUUAGUGUUGUAGAUGUUGAGAUAUUGUUCUACAAACUUGGUCGAACAAUAAUAAGCUAGUUUGAUUCGGGACAAAGCUAGAACCCUUAUAUUUUAGAACGAAGGGAGUAAUCUUAGUCUGUAGCAAAACUUUGACUCAUAUCUACAAUAUCAAAUAAGUAUAUCACUAAUAAAACUAAUUUAGUGUUGUAGAUGUUGAGAUAUUGUUCUACAAACUUGGUCAAACAAUAAUAAGCUAGUUUGAUUCAGGACAAAGCUAGAACCCUUAUAUUUUAGAACGAAGGGAGUAAUUUUAGUCUGUAGCAAAGCAUGGAUAUUUUUCUGCUUUUUUUUCCGAAAAGGGGGUUAUCCCCAUCAUCUGUCUUAAACGAUGCACACAACCAUUUUAUUGCAAAUUUAUGAGAGUAAGUUCAAGAAAACCACAUUUUUUGUGGCUAAAGUUUCACAGAACCAUAGUUGUCGCUAAUUGUCUCACGGAACCACAUCGCUGUUGAGGCAGAUCUUCCAAGGAAUCCAAAUAUUCCGGUUUAGUACGUUUAACAGACGUUCUGACAGAUGGCGCCCACGUGUAAGUGCCACGCGUCAGUUGCUAACAGGCUUUAUAUACCGACCUGACCCCAUUUUUUAUCUCCUCCUCCAUGUGUGUCCUUGUGUUCGUAGCCGUCCAACACGCUACCAGAGCAUCCACCUCCAGCCAUAGCUAGGGGCAUCUGGUAUGUGGGACACAUGCGUCGGAUUCACUGUGAGAAAAUUAGUGAUGACCGUGGUUCUGUGGAACACUAGCAGCCACAAAAGGUGUGGUUUGAAAAAUAAGAUCUUGUUGUGGUUAACAUGGGGCAUGAUGCAAUAGACACUAGGAAAAAAUUGUAGAAAAAAGGAAAUGGGUGGGGGAUAUAUACAAUUAACUUGUUAAUUCUGUGACGCACAAGAAACUAGCUAUCAAUCAUUUUUCUUUGAUUGUGCUGUGGCAAAAUGUAUUUGGCGCGUAAUAAGUAUAUAUGGUGAUAGGGACGAAAACCAUACCUGGAUGUAUUACUCAAUAUAUUUGGUGGUCACCACAACAGUUGUACAUAAAUAGAAAUUUACAGAUUGUAGGUUUAGCUACAAUAUUUGGGUGAUAUGGAAACUGGAAGUUAGAGAAAGAGAGAUUGAGGCAACACAACUCGUAUUGAUCUCAGAGCACGGUAUAUAUACCGAUUACAUGCUACAAGCCAUGAUCCCACGUACAAGAAAACUGGAGAUCAUGGGGCGUGCUAAGGUAACUACCGAAGACCAAGUCCUGUAUGCUAACACCCCCCCCCCCCCCCCCCCCCCCCCCCGCAGUCCUAGCGGCGCCAUUGGUGAUGCAUAGACUGGAGCGGAAGCCAUUGAAGGACGCAGUAGGUAGUCCCUUGGUCAUAAUGUCGGCGAACUGCUGAUCCGUCGGCACGUGCAGAAUGCAAACAUGACCCAACUGCACCUUCUCUCGCACGAAAUGCACAUCGAGCUCGAUAUGCUUAAUGCGUUUGUGAUGCACGGGGUUGGCUGACAGGUACGCGGCGGAGACAUUGUCGCAGUAGACGACGGAGGCUGACUUGACGCCCGAGUGAAGCUCGCCGAGCAGCUGGUGCAGCCAGGAGCACUCGGCGACGGCAUUGGCGACGGCGCGGUACUCUGCCGCGGCGCUGGACCGCGAGACCGUCAGUUGGCGCUUCGAGGACCAGGAGAUGAGUGAAUCGCCGAGGUAGAUGCAGUAGCCUGAUGUAGAUCGCCGUGUGUCGGGGCAGCCGGCCCAGUCGGCGUCGGAGUAGGCAAUGAGCUCGCUGGAGGCGGACGGCCGGAUUUGCAGACCAUAGCCGGGGGUUCCGCGGAUGUACCGCAAGACACGUUUGAUGAGAGCCCAGUGGACGUCUCGCGGCUCGUGCAUGUGGAGGCACACCUGCUGGAUGGCGUAGCAGAGGUCAGGCCGUGUCAGGGUAAGGUACCGCAGGACUCCUGUGAUGCUGCGAUAGAGGGUGCUGUCCGCCGCCACUUUCCCGGCAGUGGAUGAGAGCUUUGGCUUGGUGUCGACCGGCGUCGUGGCAGGCUUGCAGUCUGUCAUGCCGGCGCGCUCCAGGAGUUCCAGAGCAUACUGCUCCUGUGAGAGGAAGAAGCCGUCGAUGGUGCGCCGCACGUUGAUGCCGAGGAAAAAGUGCAACGGCCCCAUGUCCUUCAGCGCGAACUCAGCACGCAGCCUGCCAAUGAUCUCGUGAAGUAGACGAUUUGACGAGGCCGUGAUCACGAUGUCGUCCACGUACAGGAGGAGGUAGGCCAUCGCGUCGCCCUGCCGAAGAACGAAGAACGACGUGUCGGAGCAAGUGACGCCGAAGCCAAUGGUCUGCAGAAAGGCGGCGAACCGCUGGUACCAAGCCCGCGGAGCCUGUUUCAGGCCAUAGAGUGACUUGUUCAGGAGGCAGACAUCGUCGGGGCACGUGGUGUCGAUGAAGCCGGUCGGCUGCUGGCAGUGUACCCGUUCGGCGAGGACUCCGUGAAGGAAGGCAUUGUUGAUGUCCAGUUGGUGCACUGGCCAGUGCCUUGAUGCAGCAAGGUGCAGCACCGUGCGCACUGUAGCCGGCUUGACGACGGGCGAGAAGGUUUCAGCGAAGUCGACGCCGGCGCGUUGGCAGAAGCCACGGACCACCCACCGAGCUUUGUCAGAGAUUUGGGAGGACGGAGUCGUUGUCAGAGAGAUCGCCGUCCAUGGUUGCGGAAGCGAAAAGAUCGCGGAAAUCUGAUACCAUGUAAGUUAGAGAAAGAGAGAUUGAGGCAACACAACUCGUAUUGAUCUCAGAGCACGGUAUAUAUACCGAUUACAUGCUACAAGCCAUGAUCCCACGUACAAGAAAACUGGAGAUCAUGGGGCAUGCUAAGGUAACUACCGAAGACCAAGUCCUGUAUGCUAACAGAAACUAAGAAAUAAGGCAUGUUUUGAGAGGAAAAAAAACUAGUUCCAUCUCUCCUACCGAGAUGAUAUUUUAUGUGAGACAGCAUGUGCAUUUAUGAAAUACCGGGCGCGGGCCUGGGUACAAUUGGAUAAUGAUAAGAAAAAUUUGAUAGCAGGUGUGGAGGCAUUGCAAGAAGACUAUCUCUUUAACAUCAGGUGGCUCUUGCAAGGACAGACAAAAGAAGGCUAGAGGAUGUAGCAGAGGAGUCUCAGGAAAGAAGCAAGAAGAGGAAGGAAGAUGCAGUGAAGUGCGCAGGGAAUUGAAUUUUGCAAGCUGGUUCUGGGUUGAAGGUGUCAACGUUACAAUGACUAAGACUUGCUCUCUAAUAUGAGAUUUGGCGACCCUGAGAGUCGAAUGUCAUAAUACUUUUUAUUUUUUUAUUGUUUGAACUUGUAGUCGUAACAUAGGUCUUGGAUGUCAAGAACUCUGAGAGUGGGGUGAAUUGUAUUUUUUUCCAGUUAUCUUAUGAUAUAUAGUGGAACUCGAUCGAAAUAUUGUAUGUGGAAAGAAGCUGAAAGUGAAUUUCCUGGUGUCUGGACAUUCCGCCCAAUAGUUUAAAGUAAGCCACCAAACCCUGAUAGGCAAACCGGUGUAGCGACGGUCCAUAGCGUGAGGUGCCCUGGAUGUAGCACAACACACAUCUCAUGAGCUGAAAAUGACUCUCCUUGGUGUGUGCAACAGCAAGUAGAUUUGCUGCACUCCAUAUGACAGAUUUACAAAAAAAGACAAGUAACGUGAUAAACGGAGCGACGAAGAAAGAACCAAGUAAGAGAUGGACCUGCUCCCGUCCCGGGCGACGGCGGCGCCAACCCCGCCCCCGGCAUCCCCAUCGGCCAGCCCCCACCUACACCCCUGUAGCCACCGGAUCCAGUCCCCAACACCACUCUCCCCCCUUCUCCGACCGUCCCCGGCCCGCUUCUCCAGGCCGAUGCUUGCGAGGAGGAAGAGGAGGGGGAGUUCGUCCCCGACUCCUUGCCGUCGCCGGCGGCUCCGGCCGCUCCUCCCUCCCCGUCCCGUGAGCAGAUCGAGAAGCCCCCGCCACGGAUCUACACCCCACCCCACAGAAGAUCCCCUACCGAGGAGCAGGCCGCUCCCAACGCGACAGUUCGAACAACUUCAAUUCGGGCCGCCUUCAAUGCUUCCGACCUGCAAAGAUCCGCCAUUAUGGCUCACCGGCCACCGCCUCCACCUCCCGGUUCCGCGCCUUUCGGACAGCCCCGUCUCGUCAACGACAACUCGAAAGCACUCGACCUCCCUCCUCCCCCGCCGGGGAGGCCACCCCCAGGUCAACCACGCAGUCAAGCCGCUAGGGAGCCGCGCCCCCCCCCCCCUUCAAUUCCUAGGUGGCCCUCGAGUGCUCGUGUGGCGACGCCCUCCCGCCCUGUCCCUUCAUGGACGGCACGACAAAACGACGACUUCAUGAAGCCUGCUGCCAUUGAUGGCUGGCAAACUGCGCGCCGACCACAUUGGUGGCGUCGCGGCAAUCGAGGAGAGGCACAACGGGACUCCACCAGGCUUGCAAAGGAGCGACGGGCCGCGCUAUUUAAGUGCCUAUGGGGUCGUUGCUUCAGAUGCCUGAGCUCCGGCCACCUCGUCACCGCCUACAGAGAGCCACGUCUCUGCUGGCGCUGUCACCGCCCGGGACACCUUGAAGGAUCCUGCCGUGCUACACCUGCUUCCCCUACCCCACCUCAGCCCCGGCCCCAUUGAAUGUAUUGGCAAGUUCACCUGGAAGUUAUAACAGUCCUAACAAGUACAUGCAAUUUAUGGCAUAGUGGGGUUCAGGCUUUUUGGCAUGUUAGCAAAACAUAAUUUAUCUUACUACAAUUGAAUGUUACAAUAUUGAUAACUAAUGGACACCGGGUAGAAACACCGAUGCUCCUAUUAAACUAAGGACAUUGAGUAGACACAUCAAUGCUCCUAACCCAAGUUCAAACCAUUCAUUUUAUUAAGAAAUUGGAAUGAGUGAGACCUUCCUUACAGCCCCCAAAUCUAGUUGCUCAAAAUUGUCCGUAACCGGGGACACGGCUAAGUACUUAGUUUGACACUCUUGAGAGAUGGUACACUUUACCCACAAGAAAUUGAUGUGUUAAUCCCUUGCUGUCCUCAGGGUAGAGUAGCAACGGCAUCAAUUACAGGAAUUUUCAGAACAUAAUCCCCCAGACCACCUGAGGGACGCGCUCCCACCUACACGGCUACAUACCGAUGUCAUCCUCGGAUCCGGGUUCAUAUUUCUAACAUCCAUCCUGUCAGAGCCCAUUUAGCAUGUGGUUGUACUGGAAGCUACUAAACAGGAAAACUAGUAAAGCCUCUGGUUACCCCGGGUGGCAUUCCACAAUUGCGACGCAAGCGCUCCCCGAAUCCACGGGGAGACGUCCAUGGAUGAUCCGCCCCCGAAUCCACGGGGACUCGACUCAGAGGGACCCAUAGAAAUGGACCUGACGUCGCAUAACAUCUCGAAUCCUCAAAGCCGUCCACCCAGGAUGAUUCAUUACGGUUGUUUUGCCAAGUUUCCAAAAUUACUCCACAUUAUCAGUUUCACAAUGAUUGAGAUUCCCUCCCACGUAUACUAACAUAGCAUGGCUAAGCAAUAUCUAAUCACGGUGGCUAUUGGUGGAGGUUUUCAUGGCAAAGGUAACCCUAUCGCUAGUAGGUCAAAUCAUAGCUAGCAUAAGUAUGAGUAAUAAUCCUAUCAAUGCAUUCUACAAGCAACACUAAUGCAUAAGUAUUUUAAAAACAAUAAUAAUAGGAUAAUGAUCAAAGUGAACUUGCCUUGGUAGCAGUUGGAGUUCAAACACUCGUCACAGUCACAAGGUUCGCUCUCCGAGUAAACUAAAAUAAACAAGCAUAAACACACAAUUCACAUCACGACAAAAGAAAGUAUGCUACGAUGACAUGAUUUGGUUUAUUUUAUUUGUCGAGUAAGGGUUUCAAUUUCUUAGGCAAAUAAUAUUUAAAACACUGGUCAACAGGUUUAAUCAAAGUUAAACCAAAAAGAAAAGCCAAAUUAGGGUUUUCAAAUUAAGGUCACAUUAAAGCUUAAAACAAGGCUUUUAAAAGAACCAGCCAGAAGAUUUAAUCAAAAAUUUAUCUCUCUGUUCCAAAUGAACAGAGGACAUUAAAACAAAUUUUUGGGCACUGGUUUCAAGUCAAAAUGAUUUUUAAAUAAUUAGUUAUGAAUUAAAUGGCAUCAAACCCUAUUCUGUAAAUAGCUCCAGAAACCAUUUAUAAAUUUUGAAUUUAAACAGUGCCAAAAGAUUUUAUAGGUUGAGAGCUUUCCAGAAAGGUAAAAUUUGUCAAAUUUGGCCCAGUGGUUUAAAGUUAUAAGCAUUUGAAGUUCUAAGGGUUUUUCUGCAAAACUGUCAUUCAAUUAAACUGGGGAUUAAGUUUUCAUUUUAACGGGGGACACAUGUCGCGCUGUGAUUGGCCGGUACCGGUUCGGGGAAUAGAAUAAAACGUGGCCGUGGGAUCUAACUUAAAAGGAUCGGACGGCUGCGAUCUAACCGUACCCCUUCGAUUUUAAGUGAUAUAAUCCUGACCGUUAAACGAGAUCCGAUGGUCGAGAUUGAACAUGGCUUACCGGCGGCGGCGCUAGGGUUUCGGCGAGGCUCUGGCAACGUGGGGACGCGGCGGCGGGCGUUUCUGGCAGGGUCUCGGCUCGGGGAAGCUCAGGGAAGACACGGCGCGACGAGAUGGAGACACUGGUGGAGCGGUUCGCUUCGGGUGGCCGGAGAUGACGCCUAGGACGACGUGACCGUGACGGCGGGCGGCGGAGCUUCGGUCGACGGCGAGGCUGGGCUGCGGUGUACCGAACGGAGAUUGCAGCGCGUCAAAAUGACCGCAAGGAAAAGAGGAAGAGGGAGAGGCAAGCGGCGGUGAGGACGACUCACUGGUGCGUCGGCGGCGAGCGAGAACGCGGCGGCGGCAGUGGCGAACGGCGGCGAGAAAUUGCGGUAGCCUGGGGGCGUAAUCGGGCGAGAGCAGAGGGGGAAAUGUUCGGGGAUGGUCAGGCUUUAUAGUGACGCGCUCGGCAAGGGGAGGGAAGCACGGAGCGGACGGGGCGGCGGCGAUGGCGGCGGGAUUGCGCGCGCGGGCACUUUCCUUGCAGGGAAGACAAACCCAACAGGUGGGGCCCACCUGUCGGUGGCUCGCGCGGGCGCGCGCGCUGCCUGGGCCGGUCCGGCUCGGGCAGGACUGGGCCGGUUCGGCCCAUUUGGCCGGGCCGGUCUGGUUUUCCCCUUUUUUUCUUUUUUUUUCCUUUUCUGUUUUUUCUUUGUAUCUUUUGAUUUUGAACUCCAAAUCGAUCCAAAUAAAUUCCAAAUUUUUUUGUAAAAUCAUAUUAUAAUAUGAUUCAACUUUUGGGACUAAUUUCCCUUCCAAAUAAAAUAUAUAAAAAUACAUUUGCCCUAUAAAUGCCUUUAGGGCUUUAUAACUAUUUAAAUAAAAUAGUUUUUCAACUCCAAAUAAAUAUUAAAAUUUAUGGGAUAGCUCAUUUAUGCAAUAAACCCCUUUUUAUAGAUAAACUCUAUUGGUUUAAAAUCCAAAGCUCAAAUGGGUGAAAGUCCAAGGUUUAAAAUGAAAUAAAACCUUUUUAAAGCCUUUUGGAAAUCAAAUUUUGAUUCAAACAUGCAAAUGUGGCAUGAUGCUUAUGAAAGAGUUUGAAAUUUUGGGAUGUUACAACAUGCAACGCCAUCGUACGGGGACGCGCUCAGAUCUAUCAAAGAUGGAGAGACGUCCCUGAAGCUGUGAAGCAGGACUGUUACAAGGCGGCAUGGAAGCGGUUCGUGCCUGCCAAUGAUGAGAUCCGCGUACGGUUGGAGUGGCACCGGUGAACCGAAGUCGUCUUGCCGAACUCAAGACCCACGGAGACCUACCUAUAGUGACGUCAAAGUACCAGUGAGCAUGGAGGUUUGGUUAGGCUUGGUUACGACGACGUCGAGUUGGCGGCGGAGGAAGACUCGGCAUGAAGGCCAGCUGCCCGGUGGUGUGGUACGUAGUGGUAAUAGUACGCGCCCCGCUCCGAAACAAAGAAAAAGGUGCGUGCCGCACUCACGAGGGACUGCCAGUGAGAUACUGGAGGAAGGUGGGGAUGACGUCAAGUCCGCAUGGCCCUUAUGGGCUAGGCCACACACGUGCUACAAUGGCAAUGACAAUGGGAAGCAAGGCUGUAAGGCGGAGCGAAUCCGGAAAGAUUGCCUUAGUGCAACAUGUCUCAAAGGAGGGUAAAGUGGGGUUAUGCAGCAGCAAAAAUAUCUGGAGAGACACACUAAUGACAACGUCUAGGUAGAGGAUGAGAAGUGUCUACUAAGUGAAGUGAUUAACCUAUUUACUAAACACUAAACAACACAAUCCUCAUAUCACCCCCUCAACACCCUGUGAGGAAGCAAUCCAACACUACUCCAGAAAACCCCUCCAGUGGCGGUCAAAAAAUGGGGUUGGUGGCGGUGAUCACGCCGCCACUAACUCUGCAUCACUGGAGAUUUUGGCACCGGUGGCGGGUAAAAUACCCGCCACUGCUGCUCCAAGAUCAACAAUGGCGGGUAAAAUACCCGCCACCGAAUACCCACAAACCGCCACUGUAAAUCCCUCCGGCACCACCCGAAAAGUGCGUGGAGUACAUCAGUGGUGGGCGAAGUACCCGCCACUGGACAUUUUCCAGUGGCGGUCUAUGGCCACAACCACAAGAACUUUGUUCAGUGGCGGUCCUGCCUAACCACCACUGCUAUGUGUUCAGUGGCGGUUGUUCUUAACCGCCACUGGUACUAUUUUUUCCCAAAAAAAUAAAUGAGUUAUUUAUAAAAAUAAAUAUUCCUGUAGCACAGAAAUAGCAAGAAUACAGCACAGCACAGAUAAUAAAAGCAGCACAAUAUACAACACCAAAGAAACAGAAAUAGCAGCAAAUAUAUUACAAAGUUUCACACGACUUAAACAUUCAAGUCACAUGCAUGUGUAUACAAAGUGUUUGAAAGAAUGAGCCACAAAUAAAAGUAUUCCACACAAUGUAGCCACUUUUGGCGACAAUCCCCCCGCCGUAGUAAUCCCCGCUCGAUUUGAGGACCUACUUGUUGAGGAUUUCGCUGAUGUCCUUCUGGAUCUCGUACACGAGAAUUUCUGAGUUGUGCCCUAACUCGGCGUUGGCCAGAAACCAAUUGCUCACUUCUUCGAAGGUCUUCUUCCCCUUUGGCUUGAAGUCGCUGAUCAUCUGCUGAAUAGUGUGCGCGCAGUAGUAACCGCAGUAGACGGAUCCUUCAGGCUGUUGCUCGCAGGGGAAGUUGAAAUUGUGCCUGAGGGGAGCGUCAGGAUUGCGGCUGAAGCCAGUCAUCCCGUACCAUUUCACCGCGUCGCGAUAGGCUGAGUCAAUGACAUAUUUGAUGGGCCCAAAGUCGCGUUGUGGUUCAUUCCCCUUGCGUCUUAGUGGAUCAAAAUAUGUGACCCCUCCCAUAUCGAGGCAGAUGGCGAUUGUCACUCAAUGGCCGCUGUUUCACAAAAAUACGCACAUUUUAUUAGCCAAAUAAUAUAACAAGCAAGUCUUCCGACGGAAAAAGAUUUAUGUAUUCACGCGAAUUGAAAACAACUUACUGUAGAUGGUACAAUAUCAAUACGAAAUGGCGGUCUCUGUGCUUCAAGACGAAUUGAGUGAGGUAUUCAAUCGCCAAUGUUCUACUUUCGGCCAACAAUGGGUCUGGACCAAGCAAAGUGACGUUGAAGAGUAGGGGGUCGGCGACGGCCAUCCCAUAUUGCUUCACCCUAUAGGCCUCCCUUGUGUAAUGUACACACCACAGUCUUAAUAUGGCGUUGUCGAGGCACGUGCGGUUGAAGAGGUGAAACAAGUCGAGGAAAUCAAUGCCGAAAGUAACGUCGUUUUCCUUCUGGAUUUCCCCCGUAUUGGAGUCGAAGAAGCCAUAAUGCUUUGGCACUCGAACCCUGAUUUGCAGAUUCUGGAGGUCUGCGCCUGAUGAUGCCACAUUCAUGUAUUUAUCAUGGAGCUCUUGCAUCUCCCGUGGCAGGCGAUACAGGUCAUCCUGGGUCACCAUCGGUUGUCCGACGUGGAACAACAAAAAUUGGGAGAAUCGCAUGUCCACGAAAUAAGACCCAUCAGGCAAUCUAUCUCCAACACGGGGGUGGGUGGGCAUCUUCAGAAUGUCUGGCCGCUCUUCCCAAAUCCCUUCUAUCUGCGGCGCGGUCUUUGGUUGUCUUCCCGUAGAAGACGACUCUUUCGCCUCCUUGGAGGAGCCCUUGCUUGCCUUGCCGCCUGUCCCCCUUUUGUUUUUCCUGCAUCUCAAGAAAUCGGAACUGUCCGGUUUCUGGGGGACCUGCAUCCCAGCAGGGGCACUUGGACGGCUCUCCAACGGGGCCGAUUGUGCUGCGGCUCUCCGAGGAACGGGUCUUGGUGCGGAUGGCUUCGGGGCUUCGGGUUUGGGCGGCGACGGAGGAUUUUCGCCUGCAUUGUCGUCGCUGCACUCCGCCGCAGGUGAGAAGUCUCGUUCCACGGGCUCGUAGUCGAAAGGACCGGGUGAGGCGCCAAGCGGCGACGGAGACGUCAUGCGCCGGGCGGGUGGAGACGGACCGAGGCGGGGGGACGGAGAUGGAGACGGCUCCGUAGCGAGGACCACCAACCUCCUAGGCCAGAUGAGGUAGGAGUUGACGCAAUCCCUUAGGGUCGUCGCCUCUUCGUGCGGAGGAUAAGGGACCGGUUUGUCCUCGAAGCCCCUGAGAACGGAGUCCACCUGCACCUUGACCAUGUAGUCUCGCAGGGUCACGUGGUGCACCACGGCCGUACGCGCGCGGCAUCAGCAACACGCACGCGCCCAAAGGGUUCCCCACCGUCGGCAUGUGUAGCCGGCAUUUGACGCCCUUCUGUGCAUCACAAACAUGGCAACAUCAUUAAUGGAUUGGAACAUGAUAGUGGUAUAUCUCAAUUUUUCGUAGCGGGCAAAGACACUUACCGUGAGGUUCUCGUCGGGUGGCCCAAGCGGGUCAAGCUGGCACUCGGUGCCGAAGCAUGAGGUGCUCUUAUUCCCUCGCGGCGACGGAUCCGAUGCGGGUGGGGUUGGUUGGAUGGGCGCCUCCGGGAAAACACCGUGAUCGAUGAAGUUGUCGGUGUCACGCUGGUCCCUUGCAAGCCGCAUCAGCUUCCUGAGCUCCUCCUCGCCAACACCCGGAUCUUCUCAUCUAGGUCCGCUGAGCUCUGUUCUUUGCUGGACGCCCUUCUGCGUUUGCGGAAACCUUGCUCUUUCGCCAUCUGCCUGCGAAAGGGCCCGGAACCGACACCAUGCAUAUGGCCCCCGUGCUCAUUUCGUUGCAGAGCUUAGCUGAUGGCAUCAUCCCACUGUUGGUUGAUAGACGAGUGGGAGCCAUCCGACUCCCACUCUGCCAUUGCACCCUAUAUACAAAAAACAACAUGCUCAGUGUUAAUAUUAUAUGUGAGUAUAAGAAGCCCAACCGGUAAAAGAAGAUGUCAGGACGAGGUCUUACGAGUGCAGCCUCUUGCUUCUCUGACAUAGGCUCCAGGCCCGCCCACUGAUUUGCGGUCAUGGACGACCGCAUCCAUUUGCUGGAGCGCUCACCGCGAAGCAAAGUUGGGACCCUCGGCUGUAUACCGGCUUGGUCCAAUGCGGCGUCCUCCUUCGCCCACACCUUCUCCUUUCCGGGGCGUCCACGACUGCCGAGGCGGUGGUCGAAGGGCCUUUUCUCACGAAGCUCCUUGUACCAUUUUUGGUUGGCCUUGAAUUCAUCUGAGCUGACCCACUCCUUGAACCUCUCACAGUCCUCCUCCGAGAUCCCCUUCCAGUGCUUGUUCACCUCUGUCUUCCAGUCUUUGUCGAUGAGCUUUCGGCAGUUAUACUGCCACGUGCUCUAGCCCUUCCUCAUGACUUGGUGCAUCCGUCACUCCAACCGUCUCUUGAUCUCAUCAUUGGCAGGCACGAACCGCUUCCAUGCCGCCUCGUAACAGUCCUGCUUCACAGCUUCCGGGACGUCGCUCCAUCUUUGAUAGAUCCGAGCGCGUACCCGUACGAUGGCAUUGCAUGUGUUGGAGAAUCUUUCUGCGGCCUCCAUCGGUUCCUCCGGGUAGUUUUCUUUGUUCAGCUUGGUGACGACCCACGACUUCGUCGGCACCUUGUUCACCCCACGCUUGGACUUCGACUGAGUAGUCGCCUCCGUAGCCUGAGCUUCUUCCUCAUUAGCUGCUCCUUCAAGGAGCAGCUGCUCCUCGGCUCCUUCAAGGAACAGCUGCUCCUCGCUCAUGGCAAUUUCCGAGCCCGAGGAAGAUGCCCCCGCUUCAACGUGAGCCUAAGGUUCCUAUCCAACACUUAUAAAAGUAAUUUAAAAAAAGGAAAAUUUCGGCAUGACCUAUACUGUAAAACAAGAAAAUUUCGGCAUGACCAUUGCUGUAAAACAACAAAUGAGUCUACCCGAAUGUUAUACCUGCAUAAAAAAAACUCCCACCCACAUAUACCCCCUCGGCACGAUGGCCGGACCCUUCUCAACGACCCGGCACGAUUGCCGGGCCCACAUUCCUCAUAUCAACCGACACGAUGGUCGGCAUCACAUGCAUGUAUCAUUAAACCAUAAACAGCAAUAACAUCAACACUUAACCAUAAACAACAAUAUUUAAACCCUAACUAAACAUAAACAGCAACCCUAAUUAAAAAAACAGCAAGAUUCAACCCUAACUAACUAUAGAAACUAAACAUAAACGACAAUAUUUAAACCCUAACUAAACAUAAACAAUAAGAUUCAACCCUAAUUAAGAAAAAAUUUAACCCUAAUUGAACCCUAAUUUAACCUAAUUUAACCCUAAUUUAACCCUAAUUUGACUCACCGGGACAGGGGCUUCGUUAGCCGGCGGAGGAGUUGUGGCGGCGGAGACGGCCGGGGCAGAGGGGAUCGCGGGGUGGGCGGCGGAGACGGCCGGGGCCGUGGCAGCGGCCGCGGGGUCGGCGGCGGAGACGGCCGGGGCGGAGGCGGCCGGUGGAGGUGGCGGCGUUGAGGCGGCUCGGCCGCGCCCCCGGCGAUACGGGCCGAGUGGCGGCAAGGCGGGUCCGGCGGCCGGCGGGGGGGCCUGCGGGGCGAGGGGCUUCCCGCUCCUUGUCGUCUGUUGCGACCCCCCGGCCCCGGAUUUGUCUGGCUGCGACAUGGCGGCGGCGGGGAAGGGCGGCGGCUGCGGCGGCGACGGAAUUGGGCAGGGCUCCGCCUAGGGUUUUGCAGAGGAGCGCUGCUGGUCUGUGAGAAAGACGCGCGUCUCGGAUACAAAAAUUUCGCGAAGUCUCGCCCUGUAAUAUAUAUAGGAAGGGUUUCCAGUGAUGGGUAUUUCGCGGAUACCCACCACUAGAGAACCUUCCUAGGGUUACCGAUGCGGGAGACCACCGGUGGCGGGUAUUUCUGGAUACCCUCCACUGGUGAACCACCAGUGGCGGGUAUGUGAAAUCCCCACCACUGGUAAUUGGAACAGGAGUGAGGGUUAGCCACAUCCCUGUUCCACGCACCAGUGGCGGUGGUAUUGUAUAUACCUACCACUAGUUAUUAUUUUGGUUCUAGUAUUAUAUUUUUAUUAUAUUCUGUGUCUCUCUAAAAAUUAUGGCACCUGUAGUUUCAAGUGUAUAAUAAUUAUUUCUUGUAUUACUAAAUAUUUCAAUGCUAAAUGCAUUGCUGAAAUUGAAAUAUUUAUGCUUUUGUAGUGUUUACCGUGGUUAAAAAUUGUUAUAAAUUACAAAAUUGCUUAGAAUGGUCUGAUAUUUGGCAUGAAGGCUUCUCACACAACAAUAUGCCUGUAUAUGAAGUUUGGUGUCAAAAUUCCAAAUGAAGCCCAUAAGAAUAACAUAUUGGGAUCAUCUAGUUAGAUAUCUCUGAUACCUUCUAAGUCAACAUCCAAAUUGUAACAUUAUAACAACUUUGCGCUUGAUUUUUUCCCAUGUGGCUUCAUUAGACUGAGAGGUGUUCCCAUGCCAAGUUUCAGCUCAUUUUGAUGAAAAUUGAAUUUUAUGGAAUUAAAUUAGCACCAAAGCCACAAAUAAUCACAGAAAUUUGUAUGAAAUAUUAUGAAUUAAUGUCUAAAACUAGUAUUGGGAACAAAAAAAUAUUACUAUACACCCAAAAGUACAACUUCUAUAUUUUUUGGGAAUGCAGAUAAUAUAUAGGAUUAGAAUAGUGCAUUCUGAAAUAAUUACCAGUGGCGGGUUUCAAGAAAAUAACCGCCACUCGUGAGUUGGAGAAGAUUUGGGAAAUCUCAAGUCCCGUAGCACACACCAGUGGCGGGUUUUACCGAAACCACCGCCACUGGUGUCUGCUUCCAGUGGUGGUUUUCCUGGUAAUAACUGCCACUGGUCCCCUUCCAGUGGUGGUUUUCCUUGUAAUAACCGCCACUGCUGUCCUUCUGCGGGCUCUGCGUGAGGCGAGGUGGGAGUUUAGUCCCACCUCGCUGGUUUACACGCGUUUCAACCAACAUAUAAGGCUUUCUCCCAUCUGUGCAUCAGCUUCCGAUUAACCAUCUCGCCUGUCUCCUGUGCUCCUCGCCUGGCCCGUGGGCCCGGUGCCUGUAAUGUUCUUUGUGGGCUCGGUUAACUGCCCUGUGGACCCGGGUCCGCUCUGGCCUAGUAGGUAGUAGGCUGCUCCCGGGUUCGCCUGGCUGGGCCCGAACCCGAACAGCCUAGAUGACCCGGGCGGGCUUAAAAACUUUUUUUUCCUUUAUAAUGAUGAAACAAGCAAAUAAAAUAUGCAUUCACAGUAGAAAAAUAUUGCGAACAAAUUUACGACAUUUGUUUUCAAAUUUGAACAAGUUAAGAUUCGAGCCUCGUUAGAAUUGAAAUUACAUUGAAAAUCAUCAACGAGCAUAGCGAACAAAUUUACGGCAUUUGUUUUCAAAUUUGAAUAAGUUAAGAUUCGAACCUCGUUAGAAUUCAAAUUACAUUGAAAAUUACACAAAUAGUGAACUAUUGGACAAUCUUGUCUUUCUUUUUUGUUGUCUUCUCUUUCCUCUUAUACGUUUGCACCUCAUCGUGGCUGCUUCUGGCGUAGGCCCCGUCUUGUGUGGGUAAUUUUGACUUCUUUCUUGUCUGGAUCGUCCGUCUUGCCACCUCUUCUUCUUGCCUGGUCGUGGGAUCGGGGAAACCUUCAUAGUCUUGUUGUGAAGUUACUCCGUCGACCCCAACAAUGCUCCUUUUACCUCUCCUCACGACUACGCGGUUUUUCGCUAUCGGGUCUUCUACGAAGAAGAAUUGUUUGCAUUUGGAAGAAAACUGUCAUGGUUCAUGCAGUGCCGAGAUUCUUUUGACGUUCACCUGAUGACGGGGAAUCUCUUUUGGCAGAAUCAUUGUUGUGAACCUAUGAUCUUCAUGCCUGACAUCGCGUGCCCAUCUGAUGCAAAACAUGGCGAUGGUGGUGAAGGUGUAGUCAAGCUCCCAGAUCUCUUCGACCACGCCGUAGUACGCUUCAGUCUGGCCUUCGCUGUCGGUCCCCGUCUCAGCUACGAGCACUAUACCGCUGUUUUGGUACGUACUCUUACGGUCUUGAGCCUUGGUGUAGUACGUAUACCCAUUCAUUGCGUACGACUGGUAUGUCACGACGUUGCGGUCGGGAAGCCGUGACAACUUCUGGACAAUCUUCUCAUCUUCAUUCGCCACAGCCCUCGGAUACCAAAGAUCCUUCAGCCACAUGGUGAAUGUAGAAUUGUGUUUUCGCUGGAUCCAAUCAUCAUUCCUGUUAGGGUUGAGGUUUCGAAGUUCUUCGAUGUGCAUGUCGAUGAACGGCUCAACCUCUGGCGUGAGUUGCAGCACCAUUGUGUGUGCUCUUAUAAAGUCGUCCAUUCUUUGGCGGGCAUGCACAUCAAGCUCCUUCCGGCCAAGCCCACCUUCACCUUCUAGCUUCCCCUUAUGUCGUGAUUCGGGGACCCCUAUGGGUUUGCGGUCCGCCAACCAAUCAGUGCAGAACUCAACGCACUCUUCUGCAUGAUAGCCUUCCAUGAUGCUUCCUUCGGGACGCCCUCUGUUACGAACAUAUCGGUUCAGCACCCCGUUCAUCAAUGCAGCUCGGCUUUGCUCAGACUGUAACACGCAGGUUUGCAUCGCGUAUAUAUCGUGCAUUCACCAUCCUUGUUUUCCUGCGACGCCUCUUCCUCUAUCGGCCACAGCUUCUCCCUUAUCCCCAUCCACUACAAGUCUUUCCGUGCCUUUGGUCCAUCUUUUGACUUGUCCGCGUGGUGCAUCAUCAAGCCCAACAGGCUGUCGCACACAUUCUUCUCGACAUGCAUGACGUCUAUGGUGUGACGGCUCUGUAAGAACCUCCAGUAAGGCAGGUCCCAGAACACGAACCUCCUCUUAUACGUAAGGCCGCCACCAUCUGGACCUGCAGCCGGCUGUGCUUUGCCGGCCACGACUUCGAGGUCCCUGACAUCGUAUACUUCAUGUCCAGUCAGCUCCCUCGGUUUGUGCCGCCUCUCUGCCCUCCCGUUGAAGCUUUUCUUAUCAUCCCUCAUGGGUCCUUCAUCUCCAGCCACUUACAGUGUCCCAUGUACACAAUCUUUUUUGAUUCUGGCAGGAACAACCCGUCUGUCUCGUUCCCGCACUUUGUGCACGCUUUGUACCCAUGUGUUGACUGGCACAAUGAGUUCUCGUUCGCCGGGUAGUCAUGCACACAUGUCAGGAGAGCUGCUCGAAGGGUGAACUCCUCCUUCUUAUGAGCGUCCCAAACCUUUCGACCCUUCUCCCAAAGCUCCUUGAGCUCAUCCUUCGGCAGUUUCAGAUACACGUUCAGAUCAGCUUCAGGCUGCUUAGGGCCCUGUAUGAGCAUUGAUAGGUGGAUGUACUUCCUCUUCAUGACAAGCCACGGGGGGAGGUUGUAUAUGAACAGGAUCACCGGCCAUGUGCUGUGUUUGCUGCUCAAGUUUCCGAACGGAUUGAUCCCGUCCGUACUCAUACCGAACCUGAUAUUCCGGGGCUCUGCGCCGAACUUAGGGAAUUCGUCGUCCAGAGUCCUCCAUUGAGCCGCAUCUGCGGGGUGUCUGAGGACUCCAUCAUCAUUGCGGUACACGCCCUCAGGAUCGAUAUCCGCCUGAGUCACGUCGUGGUAGAUGAACCACCUGGCCUCCUUCUCGUUCUGGAACCAACGCUCCAGCCUGGUGCCACACGGGAGAUACCAGACCGUCUUUGCCGCCGCACCACGCUUCAAUUCUUCCUCCUCGCUGCCGUCAGGAUUGGGGUCUUUCUUCCUGUAUCGGGAUGUUUUGCAUACUGGACAACUGUGCAUGUCUUUGUAGUCGCCCUUAUAUAUGAUGCAGUCCAGCGGACAAGCAUGGUAUCUGAUGACCUCUAACCCGAGUGGGCAUGUAACUUUCUUCGCCUCGUACGUGCUCUUAGCCAACUUGUUGCCCGGAGGAAGUACCGUACGUAGGUAACUCAGAAUCUCCGUGAAUCCCGAGUCCACGAUGUUGUAUUUUGCCUUUAUACGCAAAAGCUCGAGCGUUCCUUGUAGCACACUCUUAUCCACGCUGGCAUUUUCAUAUAACGGUGUCUCGGCAUCCUCCCUCAGCUUCUCGAACUUACGGGGCACCCUCUCAUCCUCGGGGUCAUCCAACUAAUUCUGCAGAUGCUGAUUGUCCAGUAUUUCAACCAUCCUACCGGUUGGAACGUCCUGUACUGGAUCCAGGCCACGGUAUGCUUCUUCACCAGGCUGGUCGUCAGACUCCAUGUUUUCCAUCUCAAUGCCGCCAUCGGCUUCAAUGCCAUCCUCCCCGUGAGAAGUCCACCUUGAAUAACCUGACACAAAUCCCCGCAUGAGCAAGUGCAUCUCCACAUCCUCUGCCUCGUACAGCUUGCUGUUCCGACAUCUCACACAGGGACAACACAUCUUAUCACCCCCUUUCCUAUGCAUAUCUUCCACGCCGGCAUCGACAAAAGUCUUCAGCCGCUCUAUCCACUCAACACGUAACCUGUCCUCGUACAUCCAAGCACGUCCCAUCGAGCUACAACACAAAUUUUUUUUUAAAUAAACAAAUCAGCUUGCUCGACAAAAAUGGAAAAUUUUGGCAUGACCUUUGCUAAAAAAAUAGCAUUUUGCACUACGAAAUUCGAUGUCUGCAUCAAAAACAAAUUACCCCCACCCACAUCGGCACGACGGCCGGUAUCACAUCACAUAAGAAAUACACGGCACGAAGGCCGGUGUCAACACACAUUUAAUAUGUUUGAACAUGCACGUACACCGGUCCCGAGGUUAAGCUUAACCCUAGGGCUAACCCCCAGGGGCUAAGCUCCCCCAUACCAGCUAUAUAGAGAGAGACCUAGAGAGAGAGCUGCAGAGAGAGAGAGAGCUAGAGAGAGAGAUCUAGAGAGAGAGGGAGCUCAUCCGAGCAAAAUUAAAGCGAGAGAGAGAGGGAGGAUCAUCACUAGGGUGAGGGGGGGCUCCAGAGACAGCGGGGGCAGCCCGGGAGAGCCGCCGGAGAGAGAUCGGGGCCGAAUUUCCCGCCGGCGGCCAAGGCACAAUUAAUGGUCAUUUUUCAAAAUUGGAGAAGAAUAGGAGGAGGAAGAAGGGAGAGGAAGAGGGAGGAGAAGGGGAGAGAGCUACCUUCCGGCCGCCGCCAUCAAAUUUUGGCAGGGCUUCGCCGCCGGUGAGAAACAGAGCCGCAGCUGGUCCAAGACAGAUGCGCGAGCUCAAACAGCUUAGCGCUCGUACAGGGGUUAUAUAUAGGGAGGUCUCUAGUGGCAGGCAAACUGAAUAACCGCCACUGGUGACCUCCAACGGCGGGCGGAGAAAUAAACCGCCACUGGCGGCCUCACUAGUGGCGGGUAAGAUUAUACCCGCCACUAGUGAUCUCCCACCAGUUCCCCAACUUUAGUCCCACCUCGCUUGUUUACAAACGAUCUGACCAGCAUAAAAGGGAUUCAGCCGCCCAUCCUAUCGGUGGUUACCCAGUCAACAGUGUCUUCCCCUUCCGCUGGAGUACCAAACGCAAUCAGUUUGGUGCUGCAGCGGCUAAGGAAAGAUCACUGUUGACUGGGUAGUCCCAUCACGUGCCGACUCACCAGUGGCGGUCAUUUUAUUGGACCCGCCACUAGAAGACAGCCAGUGGCGGUGACAAAGAAACAACCGCCACUGUUGAGAAAUUUAGUCCCACCUCGCUUGUUUACAAACGAUCUGACCAACAUAAAAUGGAUUCGGCCGCCCAUCCUAUCGGUGGCUAACCAGUCAACAGUGACUUCCCAGGCCGCUGGAGUACGAAACGCGAUCAGUUUGGUGCUGUAGCAGUCAAGGGAAGGUCACGGUUGGCCGAGUAGCUACCCCAUCACGUGCGGACUCACCAAUGGCGGUUUUUCAGGUGCCCGCCAUUGCUAACAAAUGGGGCAUCCACGAGCAGCGCCAGUGGCGGUGAUUUGUUUCGGUGAACAAAAUCACCGCCACUGCUAGUGUAGCACCAGUGGCGGUGACUAUCACCGCCACUGGUGGCCCUCGUGGAUGCCUCGAGAGGCCUCCAGUGGCGGUGUGUUUACCGCCACUGGAGGGAGAUCACGGAUGGGGUUUUCUGUAGUAGUGCAAAGGACACUCUAUGAUCAAGUAAUGACCAACCAAGUCGUCCAUAACCACGGACACGGCUUUCCGAAAGAUUUAUCCCAGCAGGGUGUGCCAAUUUACCCGUACACGUUUGUCCAACCCUUAUUGCCACUCGAGUAGGAACACACAAAGACAUGUGUCGGCAGAAUUGGGCGACACGACGUUUCCAAGCCUCACAACUAAUCCAGGGAACCACCCAACUGAGUCUAAUCCGAAACGAGAGCCCGGCCAAAGCAUCGUACGGACUCAAGAGUUGCGGGAACAGCUGGUAGUGGUUCAGUGUCCGCAGAAUGACCACUCCAGACGUGUGCCGCGGUCCUAUAUGUAUGCAAGUACCAACAAAUCUCCAAACACAACACCAGUGUAUAUGCGAUAUGCCAAAUGGAACGCCCGAACUAUGUUGCCCCUGGAAGAGCUAUGAAACGAGUACUAAACCGAGGGGGAACCCAUAUAUUCUCCCACGAGCGGUUAACGCGAAGUUUCUUGGGUCGGCGAAAAUGAGAACUCGGUCCUUAGGAUGGCGCCAAUGGAACAAAACACCAAUGCGUUAGCACGGCCUCCCAUCGUUGCCUCGUGCAGGUAAUAACAUGUCACAAAUCUGGAAAUUAGGGUUCUAGUGCCAAAACAUUAUGGCUUGUUCGACUCCAAUACGGGGGAAAUUCAGAGGGAAAACGGCAUUACCUUCGGCAUUGACUUCCUCGACUUGUUUCACCUCUUCACCCGCAAGUGCCUCGACAACGCCAUAUUAAGAUUGUGGUGUGUACACUACACGAGGGAUGCCUAUAGGGUGAAGCAAUAUGGGAUGGCCGUCGCCGACCCCCUUCUCUUCAACGCCACUUUGCUUGGUCCAGACCCAUUGUUGGCCGAAAGUAGAAGGUUGACGAUUGAAUACCUCACUCAAUUCAUGUUGAAGCACAAAGACUGCCGUUUUAUAUUGAUAUUGUACCAUCUACAGUAAGUUAUUUUCAAUUCGCAUGAAUACAUACAUCUUUUUCCGUCAGAAAACUUGCUUGUUAUAUUAUUUGGCUAAUACAAUGUGCGUCCUUUUGUAAAACAUCGGCCAUUGGGUGACAAUCGCCAUCUGCCUCGAUCUUGGAGGGGUCACAUAUUUUGAUCCACUACGACGCAAGGAGAAUGAACCACAACGCGACUUUGACCCGAUAAAAAAUGUCAUCGACUCAGCCUAUCGCGACGCGGUGAAAUGGUACGCAAUGCCUGGCUUCAGCCGCAAUCCUGACGCUCCCCUCAAGCACACUUUCAAGUUCCCCUGCGAGCAACAGCCUGAAGGAUCUGUCUACUGUGGUUACUACUGCGUGCACACUAUUCAGCAGUUCAUCAACGACUUCAAGCCGAAGGGGAAGAAGACCUUCGAAGAAGCGAGGAAUGUCUUUCUGGCCAACGCCGAGUUAGGGCACAACUCAGAAAUUCUCGUGUACGAGAUCCAGAAAGACAUCGGCGAAAUUCUCAACAAGGAGGUCCUCAAAACGAGCGGGGAUUACUACGGCAGCGGGAUUGUCGCCAAAAGUGGUUAAUUUGUGUGGAACACUUUUAUUUGUAGCUGAUUCUUUCAAACACUAUGUAUAAAUGCAUGUGACUUGAAUGUUUAACUCGUGUGGAACUUUAUAAUAUAUUUGUUGCUAUUCUGUUUCUUUGGUGCUGCUGUAUUCCUGCUAUUUUCUGUGCUGUGUUGUAUUCCUGCUAUUUCUGUACUACAGGAAUAUUUAUUUUUAUACAUAAUUCAUUUAUUUUUUUCGGGGAAAAAUAGUACCAGUGGCGGUUAUAAACCACCGCCACUGAACAUAUAGCGGUGGCGGUUAGACACCACCGCCACUGGAAACGGUUCUAGUGGCGGUGACCAUAGACCGCCACUGGAAAUGUCCAGUGGCGGAUACUGCGCCCGCCACUGUUGUACUCCACGCACUUUUCGGGUGGUGCCGGAGGGAUUUACAGUGGCGGUUUGGAGGUCUUCGGUGGCGGGUAUUUUACCCGCCAUUGGUGAUCUCGGUGCAGCAGUGGCGGGUAUUUUACCCGCCACCGGUGCUAAAACCUCUAGUGACGCAGAGUUGGUGGCGGGCGUGAUCACCGCCACCAACCCCAUUUUUUUACCGCUACUGGAGGGGUUUUCUGGAGUAGUGCCGGCACCGUAACCAAACGCAUCCUAAAAUUAUAAGCCAUUGACGUACAAAAGAGGAGGUAUUAACCAACUAAAAAAACUAAAAACUUUUUGAAAGAUGUACGGUAUGACUUCUUCAUAUAUUUGCGUUCAUUCUCUCAUUAUUGUUAAUUACUAGCAGAAUGCCCAUACGCUGUCACGGUUCAGGAAAGCCACUUUUGGGUCUUCUUCUUUUUUUUCUCUUUUUUUGCCUCUUGGGCCACACCCGUUCUCCCUCUUGGGCCAGCUUCCUCGAGAGCGCCCAGCCCAUGUCCGCACGAGCACUCGUGCUCGUCUUCCUUCUCACGCCAAAAGCAACACACACGCGCGCCGGCCGCCGCAAUCUCCGCCCUUGACGACGCCUCCUCGACCCGCAACCCGUCCAGGUGCUCUAGACCGUAUCCCACGGCCCUUCCCUUCAUUUUCCCCUCCUCAAUCAUCCCCCAUAAUCACGGCUGAACUGCCUUAGCGCGCGUUGUCGUAGCGGCUCCCGUUGGCCCAGAUCAACAUGCCGGGGAUGAGGGCUGAGAGAACGAACAUGUUCCCCUGUUUUCUGUGGAAUUAAACGGCCGCUGAAUCGCCUUAGCGCGCGUUGUCAUAGCGGCUCCUGUUGGCCCAGAUCAACAUGCCGGGGGAUGAGGUCAUGACGGCUGAGAGAACGAAUCUGUUCCCCUGUUUUCUCUAGAAUUAAACAGUGCCUGAAAAGAUGGAGCCUGCAGACCAGCGCCGCCGGCUCUCGGAUGGAAGGAGGCACCGCAUGCUGGACCAUAUUUUUUGUGAGGAAUCAAUCUGCCGUUGCACCAACAGAUAAUGAGCAUCACCAAAGCGUCAGAGCAAGGUCGAAGGUGUGAAGAGAUACCUUUGGGCUUUUAAUUGGGUUUUCUUCGCUGCGUCAGGGGAAGUAUUUUUUAUGUUGGAUUAGGAAGGGUCUCCUAUUGGGGAGCGCCAGGAGGGGGGAGCUCGACGUCUGGAGCAGACGAAAGAGUGGUUUGCGUGCGGGCAGACGAUGUGGGUCUCGGGGGCUUGACGAAGAAAAGGGAGAAAAAAAUGGAACAAUCCAUAUUUUUUACAUUGGUAGGUAUAGAUAGAUUCGAUGUGGGCUCAAAAAAUUUAUAGGAAGUUUGACAGACGACGGUGAAAAAACGGUCCGUAUUUUCUUUAGACACAUACAUAAAACUGACGGGCACCACACGUCAUCAUGACCCAGUUACUAUACAGUGGAUCCGAUAUGUCAGCAAAACUAGCUUUGGUUAAGAUAGCCAUAACCAUAAGGGGAGUGGUUAAGGGCUUAAACCCCAACCACUAGUCCCCGUUGCUAAUCCUGGCGAAAGGCGGUUAAGCACCGCCCUCGAUCAACACGCGUCGCCUCCUCCUGCUUGGCUGCUUGUCGCGUCCCUCUCAUCCCCUCUCCUCAGUCCCCCCACUCUUCCCUCCAAAUUUCUCCGAUCUUCUCGCCUUCCUCCCCAACUGCCCGCCCCCCUUCCGUAUCCACUUCCCUCCCUUCCCCUCCCUCCCCUUCACCUCCUCUCGGCUUCCGAUCCCCUAACCUAAACCCCUGCCGCCGCGCCACUCCGCCGCUCCUCCAUCUCCUGUACGACUCUCUUGGUGAUGUCUUUCGCCUGUUUCAUAUUGGGCGUUUUCCCCUUUUGGUAAUCUCGGUUUUCUUUUGAUGCCGCGGGAUUAUCGCGUGUCCGGAUUUGGGUUCGCACGAGUAUAUUUUGCGGAGGAUUUUUCCUGCAUUUUGUGAUAUCCUAAUGGAUUUUGUGUCACGGCUUUGAUCGUAUUUGGUACCAUCUCCACCGAAUUGCUCUAGUACUUUUUAAUCCCCUAAUUUUCUUCCUUGAUUUUAUUUUGACGCACAAUGCGGCCAAUUCGUGCCCAGAUUUCUUCGAAUUUCCGUGGAAAUUUUCAUUGCAAUGUGGUCCAAUCGGUCGAACCCUAGCUAGAUUUUUAUCAGAACUAAUUGGGAUGAAACCUUCAGCCGAUUGUUUUUUUUUUUUGGCAAAUGCAGAGGUCGAAUCGAACAGGGGAUAUAUGUACAGGAACCAGUUUAGGCCGGAUCGCUUCAACGACCACACCAACGCCGCCCGAAGGCCCGGCCGUGGCUUUGCCAGUGGCACGCACCAUUGGGUCGUCUCUGGCGGCCGCGGGAACGCGGCUCCAGGCGCGCGGCCGCGUUCACCACCCAACCGGAGGUAAGGGAGUGAGGCUCGUCAAGCGCCACUUGGCUUUUGUUGACGAGAGUAUAAUUAAGGUGUUGGUGUGUGUAAAUGGCAUGUGGAUUGCAUUUGCAGCGGGAGGCCCGGGAGCGUGCAGCAGUACAGGCCAAGGUCACCAGCUAGCGCAGCACCCCAGGGCCAAGGGAAUGCCACUACAUAUGCUUAUGCUGCGGGUGUCGAACCGAUGAAUCGAUGUAUGAAUGUUUGUGUUAAGAACAAUUUUGUGGCUAUCGCUUUCCUUGUAAAUGUACAUGCAUCACAUGCGCAAGAAACAUGUUUUUUGUUUUGCUGCUAAAAUCAUUCAAAUAUCUGAUGUAUGUAGCCCUAAACCUUGAGCACUUUUUUUUUUCUGGCCAGUUGUAGCCCUAGCAGAUAUUGAUGAAAGAUUAUUUGGAAAUGAAAUAAUGAGGCUGUUUUUGUUCGUGCGAUAAUAAGCUUGGAUUCGGGAAUGUUGCUAAAGUUGUCUUUCUUAUUCACAUUGUCUGAUGAUUUCUAUUUUAGCAUCUUUAGGAUCAUUGGAGAACCAGAAGCCUUCUAAUGUGACUGAUCAAAGUGAUGUUCUGAACUUAGAGUCUGCUGAAAGAGCCAGGGCAGCAGAUUCUUUGAAUCCGACAAAGCACUCAGAAGGUUCGCUCUGCUUCUCAGUUAUAAAAAACAGGCCAUAACAUCAAGAAAGCCCCCUAGCCUCGUGUGACUUUAUUGUAACUUAUGAUGAGAUGACUUAUCUUCUUGGUUAUAUUGACUGCAGGAUCUUCAUCCACUGCAUUUACUCUUCAGUUUGGUACUUUAAGCCCAGGAGUCAUUAACAAACAAGUAUGGCAUAUCUUUGAUUAUUGGUUAUGGUUGCUACUUUUUUCAAAGCUCUGCAAUGGUUAACACUUAAUGGUGAUAUUUUUACAGUGUAUUCCCAACUCAACCUCGGCCCCUCCAGAUUUUAAUGAGAAGAAACAUGACAAGGUCCUCUGAUUUAUCAUCGGUUCUCCUACUGGUCUUUUUUCUGCACUUAGAACUGCUGACUCUAUUCUUAAGAAAACCAUGUGUAAUGAAUGCUUGAAUUGUUUGCUUGUUAUUGACUUGUAAAAUUUAUUACUCGUGCCGACGCCAAGGCGUUAAGGAAUCUGUUAACUGAAUACAGUUUGAUUUGAUUUUUUUAGCCUCUUAUGCUUUGCGCCUUCUCGCAGUUCUUGUAAUACAACAUGACACGCAUUUCGGUGUGUGUUCAAUAAGGAAAAAUGAAUACCCUUCUUCUGCUCAUCAUACGGUAGCCAUGCACCUUUGCUGCUGUUGUAAAUCACCAUGCUUUUGUGUAGCCAUGAAAUAAUGUACUUGCAUCUUUGGAUCAUCAUGCUUCUCCAAUUUGGAAUUGAAAUGUCACAUGUAGCAUAUACGUGCCUUCCUAUUUGCAUGUUGCACUUAUCUGUAUAUUUGAUGUUGUCAGGCACCCCAUGGAUUAUUAUCUGAUUAUAACACAUUGCCCUUACCACCUGACCAGAAGCAGCAAAAGAAAGAAGCGGCAGAUAACCAGACUGAUUUGAUCGACAAGUAUGAUGGUGUGCCUGCUACAGUUUCAUCUAAUUCAUGUGCAGUACCGGAUCAUGAAUUACCUCAGACACCAGUGCUGAAAUCUGUUCCCCCGGCUGAAAAAGUUAGUACCUUUGCCAACUCGCUCUCAGUUGCUUUCACAAUUAUCUCAUAACAUAAGUGUACCUUUUAUGUGGUCUACAGGUAUGUAUAGAUUCAUGUAAGAUGUUGGCCAGGAAUCCCUCUUCCCCAACCCAUCAACAGUUGCAAAAGCAAGACGGAAGGAAAAAUGUGAUUAAUGCUAGCCAAUCUGAUACUAUGCACAAAUAUCCUUCUACGAAGCCCAAGAUAAGUGUGCAGAUUCCAGCUCCGUAUACUCCCAACAUAGCACCGCCACCAUUUAUGCUUCCGGUAAAUGGAAGACCGUUGCAUGUGGCUUUCCAGCAGAAACAACCUCAAGUACCUGUUGAAUUCAGGGGCCCUGGUGUGCAAAUGCAGUCUAUUGGUUCUGUAUCUGGCUCCGUGCCUGUGAAAAUGGCCAUGCCUAUGGGUAAUGCGCCCCAUGUACCACCAUUUUUUGUUCAUGGUGCUCAUCCUCGUGCAUUACAACAGCCAGCCUUCAUUCACCAAGGACAAGGUAUGGGAUGUGCACCUCCAGCUUCUCCUCACCUUCCUCAACUUGGCAACAUGAGGAUUACACAGGAGUUAUCUCAGCAUCAGCCUAGAAGUAGUGAUGAACAGAAGAGAACUAUCAGGAUAACUCAUCCAGAGACACAUGAAGAGCUCACGCUAGAUAGACGUGGUCAUAGCUAUAUGGAUGCUGUUUCUGUACAGAUGCCUCAGCAUAAUAUGAACCAGCUAGUUCAGCCUGCCCCAACAUUUUCUCCCCUCCAUAAGGUGUAUUACCGGCCAAACAUGUACAAUGCAGGAAAUAUCUAUCUUCCUAACACCAGUACUGUUCCUGUUUCAAACCGGCAAAUGUGCCCCAAAAUGCAGCCACCAACACAUAACUUUGAUCCGACUAACAGCCAGGCAAUUACUUCUAUCAGUCCUCCUAUGGCAAACCCUUGGCUUGAUGCUAGUUCCAGGCCACCAACCAAUUUAUCUGCUGCCACAGAAGUUUCCAAUUUCAAAGGCUUAGUGCCAUCGACCAUAUCCCCUCCAGGUCAAGGUGCACUAAAGCCAUGCACUAUCUUCCCAUCAUCUCAGACAAGCAUAUCUACCUGCAUGGCAGAAACUCCCAUGUUUUUAAGGCAUUCUGGUGAAUAUGCUUUGUCAAGUCAGCAAAGAGUUCACAAGCUUGGGAUGGGAAUUUCUCAACCUGAAAGGUUAGUUUCAGAAGCAAAUCGCAAACUUUCAGGUGCGACAUCUGGUAUAAGUUGUAAUAUGGGUCCUCAGUCAGUUUCAACCCAGCAGACACAAACUGGUCCAGCUUUAGUAGGUCAUGCUACAUCUGCUGCAGAUCCUCAAAUUAUGUCAGCCUGUAACAUAACUUCAGCAUGUGUAGCAAGUGGUCCAUCGUCAGUUAAAGCAAAACCUAUUAUUAUAGAAGAAGAAUCAUCAGUAUCUGCAGUAACUUCAUCAUCUGAUUCAAAAGGCCAGUUAUCUCACAUUGUGCCUCUGCAGUCUGAGACAUUUGUGGAUACUGAGGCUUCUUCCGGAAGUGGUAAUGUCAUUUUGACUGUAGAUUCCUUAGGAUCAGAGACAUCAUUGGCUGGUAAGAAUUUAAAAUGUGAUGGCAAUAGCAUUUUAGGGAAACCUCCACUCAAAUAUGCACAGCAAAUUGUGCCGCCAAAGUUUCCAUCAACUAGCAUAACUACUGAAGAUCUCAAGGGCAAAGUUAAUCAUGUUCCUUUUCCAGAAGAAACUUAUGAAGUGAAUUUUUCACUUCCUUUGCAAAUCCAUAAUGUGAUUAGAGAACAGCAUGUUUUAAAUGCUGGAGUGACGUGCUCCAAGUCUAAGGCAGAACACGUCGAUGUGACAAUGCCAGGUGCUGCUUCUGGUUCGGAGAAUGAUACUGAUGUUACUAAAUUGGUGAUAUUUCAUGCAUGUGUGGAAUCAGGUGAUUUGCAUCUUUCAUCAUCCAAUGGUGAUCUCCCUCAAUCAAAUAAAAACAGUCUAGCUUCAUCAGAUGCACAAAUUGGACCAUGUGAACAAGAGAAUAAGCUGGAAGACAGUGUACAGGACUCUCUAAGUAUUUUCAUGAAUACAGCUAUAGUUUCCAACUCAAGUAUCUCUAAGGGGGAAAUGAACCAUGAUAGUAUUGAAUCAGGAAUAUCUAGUCAUUGCUCUGCUGCUACUUCAAUGGUGCUAACGAAAAAAACUGUUUUGGAGGCAACCAGAGCCAAAACUACCCAUGGAAGAAGAAAAAAGAGAAAGGAUAUACUCCAUAAGGCCGAUGGACAAAAGUCUUCUGAUAUUUAUUAUGCACCUGGUUCCGCCGAUGAGAAUUUUGCCAGCACUAGUGUAGAAGUUGUUGGGAGUUCUUCGACAGUUGAUCUAGCAGAGACCUGUACACUAGAUACUGAAAUGGGCGCUUCGACAAAAAGUAAUGAUAACCAGAACAAAAAUGAUUUCUUCGAUUGGGAAGGUGAUAUGGAAAUCUCUAGUGAAAAGUUGAGAGAUUAUAGCUGCAAGCAUUCUAACAAUGUGGCAGAAGUAAACAAAGAUACAUAUGGGUAUGGCCAGAAAAGGUACUCUCAGGAUUUUCUUUUAACAAUUGCGCAGAGUUGCGUCAGUCUGCCUGAAGGUUUUAAGAUUGGUUCUGAUAUUUAUGAUGCAAUAAUGAACAACAGUAGUGAACAUAAUCCAAACAGGGCAAGGAUAAAAGAUCGAGUUUCAGCUAAUCAACUUAACCGCCAUAUGGCUAGCGGCAAGCUUGAUGAGAAUAACUGGAGAAAAUCAUAUCAUUCUCCUGUUGCUGGACGUGAUCCACUUCCUGACACCAUUCAUCGACCUUCCAUUUCUAGUUGGGAUACAGCACAUCGUGCUGGGCGUGGAUCUUCAAGAAGUGUUUCGCAGACCCAGUCACCCAACCAGUAUACUGGUGAGAUUCUCUCCAGAGCUAUGAAAGAAGUAGCAUCUCAACGCAGCAUGUCACGUGGUUCUGUUGAUCAGAGGUGGCAACAUAGAACUAAUGUUCAGGGUAUGUCAUCUCCUUCUCAAGUUGCUGCGCCACUCAUGCACAAAGCUGAGAAAAAAUAUGAAAUUGGUAAGGUGUCUGAUGAGGAAGAGGCAAAGCAAAGGCAGCUGAAAGCUAUUCUCAAUAAAUUAACCCCCCAAAAUUUUGAAAAACUUUUCGAGCAGGUCAAAGCUUUGAAUAUUGAUAACAUAGUUACACUUAACGGUGUCAUUUCUCAGAUAUUUGACAAAGCCUUGAUGGAGCCCACCUUUUGUGAGAUGUACGCCAGUUUUUGUUUUUCCUUGGCUGGUGAACUGCCAAAUUUUGUCAAGGAUGACGAGAAAAUCACUUUCAAGAGACUUCUUUUAAAUAAAUGUCAAGAAGAAUUUGAAAGAGGGGAACGAGAGCAAGCUGAAGCUGACAAGACAGAAGAGGAGGGUGGAAUGAAACAAUCUGAAGGGGAGAGAGAAGAGAAACGGCUCCGGGCACGCAGGCGCAUGCUAGGAAACAUCCGUUUGAUUGGGGAACUGUACAAAAAGAAAAUGUUGACUGAGAGAAUAAUGCAUGAAUGCAUAAAGAAGCUACUGGGUGAGUACCAGCACCCAGAUGAGGAAGAUCUAGAGGCAUUAUGCAAAUUGAUGAGUACAAUAGGUGAGAUGAUCGACCAUGCCAGGGCAAAGGGGUUUAUGGAUUUAUAUUUUGACAUUAUACAGAAGCUGUCUGCAAAUUCAAAGUUAUCAUCACGUAUAAGAUUUAUGCUGGAAGAUGUGAUUGAUCUUAGAAACAACAAGUGGAGGCAGAGAAGGAAAGUUGAAGGGCCAAAGAAGAUUGACGAGGUUCGCAGGGAUGCUGUCAAGAAAAUGGGCCAAUCAACUAGGUUAGGUUCUUCUCCUAAUUAUAACUCAUCUGCCACCUCCAUUAGCUCAGCCUUAAGACCAGGGCCUCCACUGGAUUAUGGUGUUCGUGGAUCUUCUGCUUCUCGUGGAUCCUCUGAAGUUCGUGCAUAUGGAUCCCACAAUGUUAAUCUGGAUGCAAGAUAUCAGACUUCAAACAGAGCCAUGGCAGUUCCACUCCAACAAAGGCGGUCUGAUAAAUCCAUCCGCCUUAGUCCUCAAGGUGACUUGGGAAGAGAAAUGUCACUUUGUGGGAAGCCACCAGGUUCAAACGACAUUUUGCCAGAAGUUCCUUUGAGCAGUCAUCAUGGUCAAACAUCAAAAAUCUCAAGACAAAGUUCAUUUACGGGAGCAGCAAAUAACCAAACAAACUUACAAGCCACUGCUGAUACUCCUAAAAGUCAGUCCUGGGGAACUACAGAUCAUGUUUCACCUAUAGUAUUGACUUGUGUCAAUCCUGUUGGCCAAAUGCAUACACCCUCCACAGUCAUUAAGGAUAUUUGUUACGAAGCAAGAAUAUUCCCGGAGGAGGUUCUUCAAGAAAAAGCAAUAUUGACCAUAAAAGAGUUCUACAGGCAAGUAUGCAUAUGUUUUUGAAUGAACUCAUGCUUCCUUUUAUAUGCUUUAGAAUGCAUAAUCAUAUUGCUCGCUCUUUUUAUCACGAAAAUGAUGCGGGCGACCACCUGUCCUUGUUAGCUCCAAGGUCGGCACUUCUAGAUUUUUAUUUCCCAUCAUUUGUCAAGUAUGGUUAACUGACUAAAUAUUUAGUUCCCAAUAUCAGUUGUAACUGUAUCAACACUCGAUUUUUAUUUUGCAUGCCAUUUGUCAAGUACGGUUAACUGGCUAAAUAUUUGUAGUUCCCGAUAUCAAGUUGUAAAUGUAUUACAACACUAGAGAUGAAAUCCAUGCAGCUAUUGACUGUUUUACGGGGUACCUGACAAUGUUUGGUUACAUUUUUCACAUGGCUUUCUGACAUACUCUAAAUCAUUAAGAACUUCCAUAACUCUGCCCUUCUAUUACGCAAGAAUUUCAUCUGCUUGUACAAUUUAUUUAUUUCAUUCAUCAAUAUUUUUUCCUAGACAUGCCUUUUUUUUCCAUAGCACAAGGUCAUAUAAAGAUGUUAUUGGCAUGUGUAUGUGGCAUUACUUAAUCACAACAGUAGUCUAUAAAUAAAUUUGUUUAAGCAUUUAGAAGGAAUGUAUGUUCUACUAUGAAGUAGGAAAGACCCAAAAUUGAAGUGAAGAGGAUUUAAACCUGGGUGGUGGGAUUUUAAAUCUGACUUCCCCGUGAGCUGAGUCAGGCUCAGUUCCUUGCAAUAUUCUGUAAACUAAAACUCAGAAUUUGACAUUUUCUCAUGUCCAAUGAUAUGAGCGAUAGUGACUACUAAAAAAGUUAACAUGUUUUUUUUACAUAUGUACUCCCUCCAUCCCAUAAUUCUUGUCUUUGUUUUAGUUCAAAUCUGUACUAAAACAGCGACAAGAAUUAUGGGACGGAGGGAGUACAUGUUUUCUGAAGCUGGAUGCCUAUCUCUCGUAAGAUGGCCCAAAGACUAAGAUUUGCCACUAAGUUGCUGUUUAGUGUCUUCGUGGUUUCACCCUACCAUGUUUUUUUUGUGUCCAGUGCUAAGGACGAGAAGGAGGUCGGGCUGUGCAUGAAAGAACUGAACGCUCCCAGUUUUUACCCUUCACUCAUAUCACUUUGGAUCAAUGACUCGUUCGAAAGGAAAGACCUGGAAAGGGAACUUUUGGCCGAGCUUUUGGUGAACUUGUGCAAAUCUCAGGAGAGUCUGCUAAGCCAGGGAGUGCUGCUCCAAGGGUAUGGUCCAUUUGCUCAGUAUUCUCCUCUCUUGUACCGUAGUGGUGUCAAAGCUGCUUGUAAGUGCCUGCUUCUUGUGUCAGGUUCCAACAUGUUCUUUCAACCUUGGAAGAUGCGGUAACUGAUGCUCCGAAAGCAACCAAGUUCCUCGGGCGGAUAUUCGCCAAGGUCAUACUGGAAGACGUGCUCUCGCUGACUGAGAUCGGACUAUUGCUACAGGACGGCGGGGAGGAGCCAGCACGGCCUGCGUCGGACCAGGGGCUCGCUUCUGAGGUUCUGGGGAGCAUGCUGGAGUCAAUAAGGGUGGAGAGGGGCGACUCUGCGGUGGACGAAAUCCGUGCAAAGUCAAACCUGCACAGGGAGAACCUCAGGCGACCUGGCCUGUGCGUCUGAUCAGGAUAGGGAGGCGGAGUGGGUAGAUCAGUAGCGCUUCUUCUGCUAGGUUUGCUGGAUCCUAACCUUAUUAGGAAGAAGAAACGUCACAAGAAAUUUUGUCGGGCCUUGCUAGCUCACUUAAUUAUCUCUUAUUACCAAGUUACUAUAGGUGCACUUUUGUUAAUAUUUUUCUUGGUUCAGCUUAUGUUAAUUAAAAAGCUCUGCUUUAUCUUGUGCUGAACUUGACAGUAUAUUUUUUUUGACCAGUACUGAACUUGACAGUAUUACUGUUAGUCUGUUACGUUAUUUCCUGCCUAGCUCCACUCUUGCAUUACUCUGAGAUUUCAGUUUUAAGCACGACGCAUCUGAAAAACAUUUAUAUGUACGACCAGGACCGGGCACUACGCAAGUAAACAAUAUACUCCCUCUGUCCCAAAUUAACUGACGUAGAUUUGUAUAGAUUCUUGUCCCAAAUUAACUGACAUGGAUUUGUAUAGAUUCAUGUCACCUAAUUUGGAACGGAGGGAGUAUUUCUUUAUGCACCGGCAUAUAUAAAUGGCCAUACCAUAACACACAAGUAAGCAAAACUCUCGAAUAAAAGAAACCCACAAUAGAAGCCUAAUAGCAGGUAAAGAAUAAGAAUUGCAUGAGCCCAUGUUUUACAUUUUUGCCGUUGCCAUCAUAUUUUGACAAAAGAACCUAUGUUAAAAUAAAAUGACAAAUACACAACAAGGCUACAAAAUGCCUUCUUUUAGUAACUGCCAAGCUCAAAUUUAAGAUAUAGAAAGAACAGGAUGCACCUAUGCUAAACAAACCAGGGGCGUCAAAUCAGAAUGUCAGGCGUGGGAGAGAGACAAUAGAAGGGAGGUCAGCCUGGGGUCAGGUGGAUUUCAAUGAAAUGCUAAAUUCCAAUCGAACCAAGUGAUAGGACUUGUGCCGGAUGUGCUGUGCAACACAUCAUAUCAGAUCGCUGCGACUCUUUUGCACCUUCAGUCUUUAAACUUACUAUGGCUUAUGAAUUUUGAAGCCAAAAACUCUGGGGACAUAAUCCUGUGACGGCUUCUGGGGCUUCAAGUGUGGGUACGUCAUCAGAAACAAGUGAGGAAAUGUUGUUCCAAAAUAAGCUCCAUCAAUGUCUACAUAAGAGUUAAAGAGUACAUAGCUGGACAAACCAUAUUUUCUUUCCAAAGAACAAGAAACACAACUCAAAUACGGGAAAAUGAUAAACAGUUCUCUUUCCCGUCUGCUGAAAAAUUCUUUUGAUCUAUUGGUUUUGUAGCAGUAAUCUAGAGAAAAUGUUAUAAUGUUUUGCAAUUUUGAGGGAGGGGUUAAUUCCAUAAACAUUUAGAAGGCCAAGAAUAUCAGUAACUACAGAUGCAAGAUCUACCUUUUUCAAAAGGUGCGAGAGAAAAUUCUAAAUAUUUAAAUUUCUUUUUCUAAGGAUUUGCCAUGCUACAGUUUCACGCAGAAGCAUAAUAUUUGGUUCAUGAAGUGACUGAUUUUGUGGGGUGUCAAUUCAGGGUAAUGGAUAAGCUAAACAUUCUAACUGAACAUACUAUGAGAGUACAAGUUACAAAAUGACAGUAAAGAAAACAUAAUCAGGCAACUGAAAAGUUUGUGCGCUACUGGAGGGAGAUCAGAAUGUGGUGAGCUUUUGAGUUCAAAAGCACAUGCUUACUGUAAAUAAAAGGAUACUGCUUUGAUAUUUGGAUCUCGGGUAGUAGAGAUCUUCACACUUUGGGCAGUAAAUUUUCACGUUACUAGAACGAGGAAUGUCUGAUUGGGCAACUGGAAGACAUGGUUGACCACUGCAGUGCACCCUAGGACAUCUGCCAAAGUCAUAGUUCUUGUACUUAUCCAACUGCACAAAAUAAAACAUGGAAGGAACCAAUUAAUUACCAUACUCAAGCUUAUCCAUCAGAAAAUAACUUAAUAGAACUAUAGAGAAAGAGUUUCACCAUUGCAGCCAACCCUUUACUUGUAAGAAUAUAUCGAACAUGAAUCAAUCCAUAAAGCAUCUCAGCAGCUGAUUCAAUAAGUUCAUUUUGCUCUUCUGUCAACAUAUCACCUGUGAAUUGCACAAAUCAAAUUUUAAGUGUUGCAUCAACAUUCAACAAAAAGCAGUUGGUUGAAUGAAGCAAAAAAAAGUGCGGCAAAAGAAAGCAACAUAAAAAGAUUUUUCCUGGUCAAAGAUAUGAGGCUCUAUUUUCAACUAUAGCAGUUGCAACAUAAUAUAAGAGAGAAAAACUAGUGGAGGAAGCUGCUGGUAGAAUCCUUCUGGACAAGACUGAACUCUCCUCCCUCUCUUUGAGAGCUUUAUGCCCAAGCACGACAUUAUCUAAGUCAGAUCCAUAUGUCACUCUUUUUUUAUACCUUGAUGGAUCCAUGUUAUCCUAUGAAUUAACGGUGGAUAUCGAUCCUAGUUAUGAAUGGUACACUACAGUGAGGGGAGUGGUGACAAACUUAAUGUCUCAACCAAUAUGUGCUUGUAUUGAUUGCAGGACAAUACUGAGUAAAUAAAUUUACAGAGCACCAUAUUGUUAUGUUUUCUAAGAGAACUUCUGGGGGUGCAACAGAGGGCCCCGUAAGGUUGUGGAUGCAACAACCCCAGUUCAAAUUUCACUUCUACCAAAUUUCAUGGCAUGGUACCUUGGAAAAAAUUCUUCUGCUUUUCAUAUACACAUAACACAUUACAUCUCACUACUCAGGUAUCGUGCUGUCAUGAACCUACCGAAAAAAAUUCCCUUGAAUCUGGAUUCUGGGAGGUGCAGCUUUGCUAGAGAAGUAAUUAGAUAAUCAAGCCAAACAACCUCACUACCCAGCCAAGCAGAGUCAAAGAGCUGGAGUAUAAAUUUUCCGUUGCAUUCGCUCAACCUUGGGUAAGGCUAGGUCAAAACAGGCAACUAAACACACCAUAAAAGACCAGCUACAGCUGUUGACUAGUCAAACUAGCUAGGGGCGGCACAUGGUAAAAAGGGCAGAUUUAUUUUAUGGUUCGCUAAUCAAAGGAAAAAGACACCAACAGGAUCCAGCUAUUUAUCUAAGUUAUGAAGAUUAUUGAGGUAACAUAAUCAUCAAAUAUUUAUGUAACACAUUUAUCUCCAAACAUAAGUACCAAACAGAAAAGGAAGUGGGAUACCAUGUGAAGACUCAACAUCCAAUAUCAGAUCAAGAGCAUAUUCAUAAUAUGGAACUUGACCGCUUAGCCCACAGAGAUUGAAAUCGUCUUGUAUGUAAUCAUCAUCAACUUCACAGAAGAACUCAUUUCCUCGCAAGCUGCAGAACCAUGAAAUCCAUGAUGUAUCUUCUCCAUCAGAACCACUCAGAUCUGAUUCUUCACUGUCAGUAUCCGAUUCUCCUGUAAGUCAAUCGGUAAAAAAAUAGUUACAAUUGAAACAAGAAAUACCAAGAACAACUUCAGGAACAUUAAUUAUAGAAACUAAGUUAAAACAGGUAGGAAAACAUGGUUGCAGAACAUAAAUUCAUCAGUAUUCGACAACAUAUAUUGCUAAUGUGUGGGGUUUCCGUCCAACUAACCAAAGAGACAAAGGCACAAAUGUAGGCCCGAUAAUUUAAUCACACCAACAUAUUGCAGUGCAAUACUAACAAAGCGUAAACAAAAUUCACCUAACAAGCAAUAAAGUGGACUUCGCAGCUUGUCAAACCAAAUGGGAACCAAGUGCCCUUAAAAUUACUGGCUCAAUACUAACGUGUUUUAACACUCCCUCCGUCCGGAAAUAAGUGACUUGGAUUUGUAUUUCCGGACGGAGGGAGUAGCUUAACUGCAUAUAUUACUGAGUAAAUAAUUUGCACAAUUCUAUUGGUGAUCUCAACAUAUUGCGGCGCUUUCAUGCCUGACACAUCCCAUGACCACGAUCAAUUGCAACAUUGUGUGUCUGGCCAAUUGCAUUACCAUGCUUAUCUGCUCUGUAGGAAUCAUAAACUAGAAAUCUACAUCACUCGUCAAUAUUUGCAUCUUCGGGCUACCUCACACCAGCAAGCAUUACAGUAUUGCACAGAAGCUUGAAGAAAGGAUGGUAUGAGAGCAUGGCAUAGAAGUGAUCUAACGGUUGAGCACACCAUUGCUCCCUUGUUCGUGCACAAAUUGCUAAACAGAAAAUCAUUAUCCAUCUAAUAGGCUAACCCCUUCAGACCUAAUUCCUCAAGCUACAAAUAAGUUACCAAGGCAGAACAAAAUCCACCUAUUCCAGUAAUCCGGUCGCAAAACACAGUUGAUCUAUGAACUUGUGACACCAACGAACUAGUAAGAUAACAAGAUAAUCAGCAAACUAAAAAUAGCGCUGCGGGAGAGAACUCACCAUCGGAUAACUUGCUCUUGGACAUGGCUGUGGAUCCGCCGCCGGAACGAGGCAUCUCUGGCUGCUUCCCGGCGGCGAUCCGGUCCCUCUCGCGGCCGCCGGAGAACCCCCACGAAGUCGACGGAGAGGACCUGUCCAUCGCCUCGCCCACCCGCUUCCUCUCGCCGGCGCCCCCAGCCGCCGCGGAUACGCCCCGGUCUCUGUGCAUCUCCUCACCCCUCACCCUCUACUCCUCCGUUGUCCCCCGAUCUUGAGGCGACGAGGUGGACUAGGAACCGAGGUCGCAGGGCUAGUGUGGGAGGCCGGUGGUGAGAGGCGGGUAGAUCACGCGUCCGCUCCGACGCCCGAGAGGAGGACGCAACGGUGGACGGAAGGGGGAAAGAAGAGCACGCGGGGCUAUUCGGUAAUUCCGACAAACCUUGGGGAGGACGAUGCUGCCGCAUGCCAUGAUGUCGUGGGCCUCUUUGUAUGGCCCCAUGCACUGCUGGAAGAAGGCUUGGAACUUGCCGCCCCAGAAGGCUAGGAAGAAUUGGGCUCUGGCUCUGCCAACUGCCGCUCCUGAGUUCCUGGUUGCGUGUGAAAUCAUGGUAACAGUUUGAUACAUUACGGUAACAGUUUGAAUAUGCAAAAUUAUUGGUAGGAGUAAUUUAAGUGAUUUUAAAUCGAUGAAAUCAUGGAGCUAAUUUGUAAUUAAUUAAUUAUUGAUUUAUUUCUACAAUUGAUUGAAAAAUUCAUUAGUUGCGAUAUGAAACCAGUGUGUUGGUUUUCUAUUUAAUUGAUUUCCAUAAAUAGCUCAAUGCCACUGGUGGACAGUUAAAAGUGUUGUGCGACAUGCAUCAUUAUAGCGAUGUGUGACACUAAAUUCAAAUUUAAACUGGUUGGAUGGCUGACUUUUGAAUCUGACACAACUAGUACGUUUAAUAUUAGAAUCUUUAUCUUUAUUUUCAACAACGGGGGUACGUCACCACUAUACCACGAAAUUCUUUUAUGACGAUUGUUGAUUUGGUACAACUUAUUGUGAGAAACAGUGAGAACGAAUAUGGAUCAUAGAUUAAAAUAAUAGACAACAAUAUGAUAAUCUUUUCAAAACUUUACUCAUAGUACAAAAGACUCAAUCGUGCUUCGUCAUAAAAGAAUUUUUAGCAUUUUUUAUACCGAUUGUUAAAUGGAGGUAAACGUUCUAGCAUAUGGACUGUAUUACCUAAAUAGUAGGUAAUACUAUAACAAUAUCUUUAUGCAUAUGUUUUUAGUUUUUUCUUUGUCAAUAGGUUUUUGCUUGCAGGAGAGGCAUGAGCAUCCCAUUUAAAUUGGAGUUGUAGUCUUCGGUUUCGACAUCUAUUGCACAUGACAUGAUCUUUUUUUCAUACAACCCAACAUAUAAAUUGUUGAAUAUGCCAUUAUAAAGAGUAAAUCAAGAAACCCAUAUUUAUCGAAGUUCGGUAUAAGAAAAACCACAUUUUUGGAAAAAUUCACUUAACACAACUUGUGCUAACCAUUCUCAAGAGAAACCCAUAAAUUCACAAUUUAGAUGGUUAACCGAACAUAUGACCAUUGGUCCCACACGCCAACAUCUCUACCUAAAGUAACCCCCUUCUUUUUUGCUUCCCUAGCCAGCAAUUUAACCCUGGUUUAGGCUCGGUACCAAACAUGCCCCACGACUGUCUAUCAUAAGUCAAGUGUAUAAUUGUUAGAUGCGUCUGCAAGACACACUCAUUAGGUGUGACUUAGAAUCGCAACAUGAGCAUCAGUGUAGUUGGAAGCAAUAUGAGGAAGAUCUCAAAAUAAUUUCAGGCAUACACCCUUAGAUGAAUGAUUUUAUGGAAAAACGACACAGUUGUGAACCGUGAAAAAACUGGUCGGUUGGACCGAGGUGUGGAUCAGACCGCUUGAAAACUGAGUUAUCUUGGGUUCUAGACACUGACUACUGGAGGCCCGUCAGUCGGAUAUGGUGUUAGUUUGCUAUAAUGCAAAAGUAUAGGUUUUUGACACAUUAGUACAAAAGUUGUUGCUAAGCGAUUUUUUUCUGAAAAGUCGUGAUUUUCUAAUACUAAGGGUGUGUUCGGUAGUGGCCUAGCUUCCAGCUUCCAAAAAAUUCAUCCUGGAGCAGUGCCGAACACAAAAACUCCGCGAAGCUGGAUCCAAGAAGCUAGCCCAAUUCUCUGUAAAAAAAAUUGGAGCACGUCUUUUGGAGAUUCCUAGAUUUGAAAAACGUGGAGCAGUGUGAAAUUACGCCCGUAUUGCCACCGCCUAGUGAAAAAACGGUUCGUUUCUCCUCCUCUUCCCGAUAUCUUUUCUUUCUCGACCCCUUCCUCCGUCUCUCUCCGCCCGAUCUCCUUCUCGUUCACACCCAGCCCCCGAUCCCCUUUUGCUGUGCCGGCCGAGCCUCCUCCUUCUCCUCCCACGUUUGCCGGCGUCCUCCUCCUUCCCCUUCUCCAAUGAAGCGUUCGUUCUAACCAGAUCCGCCCCUGCCUCGACCUCGUACGGCCGCCUCCGCCGCCAAUCCAGACCUCCCUGCGUCAAGCAUGAGUUCGCUAUCCGGUGGCCUCCUCCCAGUUCUUCAGUGGCCUCCUCUCCCGAGCUCGUCGUCCUCUUGCACCGGUUUCCAGCGCCGAACAGAAGUCCUCUCCCCUGUUCUUCGAUGGGCAAGCUAGCUAGCCUAGUGAGAAUUCGGCCCAGCAGAACUCAUAGCAGCGCCGACCGUUCUGUGUUCCGCGAUCGGGACGUUAGAGUCGUGUGGGAAGCUGGAUCGACGGAGUUUCGAAAAGCCAGACUGUUACCGAACAAGUCUAACCUUCCAAAAGUAAGGAUUCCUGGUUAAGCUGAGACGCAAGAAUCAGUGAGAUGUGAUCAAAUUUCGGCAAAUGUCUGGAAAGCUGGCGCAGCAGGAAAAUCUGUGUGCACCGACCUAAUUAUACGUCGCCAAGAAAACGAAUUCCACCCGAAAAGACCAAGCGCCCUCUACUGCGCAGGACGCGGUCAGCGGCCUCUGCCGGAUGGUUAACCCGUAAUUACAUCCAGUCCCAUCGUCCAGAUUGCAGAAUACGAUUCGACCCACCAGGGUGAAGGCCGAACCAACGAUACCUAGGCCGCCCGGGUCUCCGUGACCGUGCUGGCUCUUCUCCGCGACCUAAAGGCCGCAGCUUUUCGUCUCCAGCUCUCGCUAGGGUUUCGGUUCCCGAAUUCGAUCUUCCGCCAGGGCACGAGGUACGCACGCCCACGGAUUUCGACCUUUCUGCCCCCAUCCGACUUGCCGCCUGUUUCUGUCUAAUCUGUGUUUUCUUGUGUUGAUUUCUAGCCGGUGUUUUCUGGUUUUGUUCUGACCUGGGAGAUGCCGCCGAAGUCGGCUAGGAGGGGUGGCGCCGCGGCCGCGAGGAAAGGUCCCGGAACAAGGACCAGGGCGGCGAAGGCCCAGCUUGCCGUGGAGGAGGCGGUGCCCGUCGAGGAGGCGACCGUAGAGGAGGUGAAGGCCGCGGAGGAGGCUCCCAAGGUGGAGGAGCAAAAGCAGCAGCCUUCGCCGCCACAGCAACAGCCCACUGCUGAGGAGAAGCCUCCGCCGAAUGCCACAGAGAACGGGGCAAGCCGUGCUGAAGGUAUUGCGCUGUGCCUCUGUUUAUACACUUAUUUUCUGCGAUCUGUUAUAUGGCUGGAGGAAGCCCUGAUUUGGUGCAUCUGUUUGUCGGUGCAACAAUCUCCCAUUUGUUUUGUGUAAAUAUAUGCGACGCAGUUUUUUCAUCACUACCGAUGAUAAGCAACUAAGCAUGGGUUGAUUGGUAUUGCGCAUAUUGGAUUUACUGGAUCCGUUAAUACUUUCACCAAGUAGUGUUUUUUUAUUAGUUUCGUUUUAUUUGUUGGCUGAGCUUUCAUGGCAUUUUGUUUUACAACAGCCACCCUGGAUUUUGCUUAUUUACCGUGAAUUACUCCCUUAGCAAAGCAUAGAAGAAAACAUGGUUUGUUGCAACUUACUGUAUUUUUACAACAAUGUGUGGCCACUUCAUUAGCUUAUAUAGAUGGAGUUUGAGGUCUAUGUAUCUUAUGUUUCCUUCUUUUUUAGAUGACGGAACUGUUGUGAAAGAAACAGAUGAAGAGGAUGACAAAGGUGAACGACUGGAGUUCGAGGAUGAGCCAGAGUAUGAAGAGGAGGCUGCUGUGGACUAUGAUGAAAAGGAGGAGCAGUAUGAGGAGCAAUAUGAAGAAGGUGAUGAAGUGUUUGAGUAUACGGAAGAUGUGGUUGAAGAGGAGACUGAUAUGGUCGAUGAGGAACUGGAUGAAGGUGGGGAUGACGGGGAGGGUGAGGAAUAUGAAAAUGCUGAUGAAGAUCAUAACGUGGAUGUGGAUGAUGAUGACCAUCGUGAAAUGGUUAAAGCAAAUCGAAAGCGGAAGGAGUUUGAAGUUUUUGUUGGCGGGCUAGAUAAAGAUGCAACAGAAAGUGACCUUCGGAAAGUUUUUAGUGAAGUUGGUGAGAUCUCUGAAGUUCGUCUGAUGAUGAACCCUGUUACAAAGAAGAACAAAGGCUUUGCUUUCCUACGAUAUGCGACAGUGGAGCAAGCAAGGCGUGCUGUCUCAGAUUUAAAGAAUCCACUGGUUGGUGUUAAUAAUACCUGAAUAUUUUUGUUUAUAGUAUAUUUUUUAUUACAAGUAACAUAAUCAUUAUUUUUAUGUUGUAGGUGCGAGGGAAACAAUGUGGGGUUGCUCCUAGUCAUGAUAACGAUACACUUUUCGUUGGCAAUAUCUGCAAGACAUGGACAAAAGAGCAUGUAUGAUCCAUAAACUCUUUUUCUUGAUGUUAUUUUGUCUUCUUUCUGGUGGAAGGCAUAACAUGUUUUUGAAUUUACAGCUGAAGGAUAAAUUGAAGAGCUAUGAGGUUGAGAAUUUUGAUGAUUUAAUAUUGGUUGAGGAUAGCAAUAAUCCAGGGAUGAAUCGUGGGUAUGCUUUGCUAGAGUUCUCUACGCGUCCUGAAGCUAUGGAUGCUUUCAGGCGAUUGCAGAAGAGGGAUGCAGUCUUUGGAGUUGAUCGCAGUGCAAAGGUUUCUUUUGCCGAUUCCUACCCUGAAGUUGAUGAUGAAAUGAUGGCACAGGUAAGCGCUUGUUUUGUACAGUAAAUUUAAGUGACUUUGUCGAGGUAAAAUAUUUAAUAUUGCUUGCCAUUCAGUCAAUUCACUUCAGCAGCUGUUAUUAAUUUCUAUGUUUCUGGUGUUGUUUCCUGUGUAUGGUCCAAAUAUGCAAAAAAAACUGUUGAAUCCUCAUUUUGGUUUUAUGGUUCAGGUGAGAACUAUAUUUCUUGAUGGCCUCCCUCCCUCAUGGGAUGAAGAUCGUGUAAAGAAGUACCUUAAAAAGUAUGGAGCUAUUGAGAAAGUUGAACUUGCUCGAAACAUGCCUGCAGCGAAGAGAAAAGAUUUUGGGUUUGUUACUUUUGAUACACAUGAUAAUGCUGUUGCAUGCGUUGAUGGGAUAACUAGUUCCGAGAUUGGUGAAGGUGAUAGCAAGGUCUGUUUCCCAACUUGAGUUUACUUCACCAUCCUAACUGAUUUAUAUCAUAUAUUCCUCUGUUGGACAACACAUCAAUUUGCCAUGUAAUUCCUUGCAAUGACUAUUAUUUUGUGGUUCAGGCAAAAGUGAGAGCCAGACUGUCAAGACCACUGCAGAGACCUCCUAGAAUGAAGCAUGGAUUAAGAGGAAAUUUUAGGAUUGGGCAAGGUGCUCCUCGAGGUGGUCGCUUUUCAUACGCUCGACCUCUUCCGCCACGCCGUCCUUUACCACGUUUUGUACGACCUGAUGUUAGUCGGUUAUCACCCAUCAGGGGCCGCCCACUGAAGAGGCCAAUAGAUAUUAGAGAUAGACGCCCUGUUAUGUCAGUACCGGACAGAGUUAGGCGUUUGCCUCCUCCAGAGAGAUCCUAUGAUAGAAGACCCCCAGGUGCACAGAUGGCUGGUUAUCCAUUUUUGCUUUUAUGGUAAACCACUAUGCUGUCUCAAUUUUUCUCAUACUUCAUCUGUGCACAGCUCCUGUUUACCCAAAGAGAAGUCCAAGGAGAGAAUAUGGAAGGCGUGAUGACCUUCCUCCGCCAAGGAGCAGGGCUACCUUUGCUGACUACAGUCCAAGAGUUCCAGUGGAUAGGCGCCACUCUUAUAGGGAUGACUAUUCACCCCGUGGAUCAGCUUACUCAGAUUUAGGUCCACGUAGCGCUCCCCGUAUUUCUGACAGGAGAGCAUAUGCUGAUGACGGUUAUGGAGGGAAGAUCGACCGACCUUUACCAACCUAUAGGGAGGGCCGUGGCCGUGAUUAUGAUACAAUGGCUGGUUCAAAACGCUCCUAUGCUGAGAUGGUGAGGGUAGUUUACUUAUUUGAUUUUUCAUUGUUUGCAAAAUGCACUUCCAGUUUAUUCCUCAAUUGAUCUAAUUAUUGUUAAUAAUGUUAUGCAAGGAUGAUGUGCCUCCUCGAUAUCACGAUGUUAGUGUCCGUCAGUCCAAGGCACGCUUAGACUAUGAUGUUGGUGGCAGCAAUGCUCGGUAUGCUGAUGCAUAUACUGAGAGGUUGGUGCACAUUUGAUCGCACUAAGUCUAUUUUAUGUUUGAUUUUUAAGUUCAUGUUCUUACACAUGCUCAUCCUUGAAGGCUUGGACGAUCCCAUGCGGGAUACAGUACCAGCCGAUCUGUCUCUGGUCAUGAUUCUGUGUAUAGCAGUAGCCGCCAUGGUAUGAGUUAUGGAGGUAUACUUUUUAAGGCUCUGCUAUUUGUCAUGGUACCUUUGAUCGUCACUUAUAAUUUUAACUCUGAUGUCGUCUUGCAUUUCAUCUUUCCAGGUUCUGCGAGCAGUGGGGAUCCUGGUGGAAUGUAUUCUUCAAAUUUCAGUGCUGACUACAUGCCUCGUGGAUCUGAUGUAAGUCCUCAAGUCUUGAUAGAAUUUGAUGGUCAAAAUGUCACCUUGUAGACAGAAGAAAACAGUUUGCAUCUUGGCAGUACAAUUUAUUUAAAAUUACCAAGCCGUUUAUCAUGUGAUUUCUGCUAAUGUAUUCAAGUUUCUGUUUGGGCAGGUUGGUGGAAAUUCAUACUCAUCGCUUUACUCAGGCCGUAGUACGGGCAGCAGCGGUGGUUAUUUUGGGGGCAGCGGUUCUAGUUCGUAUUACUAAGGUGCAAACUCAAUCAGUUCCAAUUUUCCUUUAGUUUAAUUGCAUUGCACAUAAAUUUUGUUCACCAUUUUUGUCAUCCUAAUCAUCACCAUCAUCGCUAAUUGCUCACAUCGAAGAUGGCAAAUGUUUUCCCUUGUCAAACAUGGGAUACCCUCCGUGAUCAACCACAAAUUGUUUAAUGAUACAGUUUUGGCAUCCUAUCGUCUUUGUGGAGCAGAUUUGGCACCACAGGAGGUUGGUGUAGGCUGUGGAUUGUAUGGAGCUCCUUAUUAUAAGGCCUACAGAUGUGGACAAGUAGCAGGUGCCUAGAGAUCUGGACAGGUGGCAAGUGUUAGCAAUCAAAUAACACAUUUUCGAAGGAGCCAGAAACAUCAAGUUGGUUGAAGCAGUAGUCUUGUGGAUGUUCUGGCAUGUUUAUUUAUGUAAGGCUUUGCUUUAGUUGGUCAAGAGUUAUGAACAAUAGCCAGCUAUGGUGUGUUGACAUGUUUACUUCCAGUGUUUCUAUAACAUUGUUGAGAGGUAUGGAGUGUUUCAAUAAGUAUUCUUUGAGGUCAUUCCUGCAAUGCAAGGUGUCUUGGAGAUUCCAUCUUGUGAUGUGCUGGUUGUCGGCGGAAGAUCAGACUUACAAAUGAAGCCUUAGAAGUGGGCGCUUCGUGUAAGGCUGUUACUUCUGAAACCGUUGGUUCACAGCAUGAUGCGCCCGUUCUUUAUUGGAUCAUAAUUUGCUGCCUGAAUGAAAGCUGAUUGGUCAGAAUGAAAUUUUGGAUUCGUUAUUUAUUAAACUGCAGUACGGAUUAAAUUGGAUUUGGUAGCCAAAUUUGGGGAGAAACCAUUUAAAUGGCCCAAGUAGUUCUUUCUCAAGAUAACACAACUCACAGCUACAGGACUCUUCAUAGAGUAAAUGGCACCAGGUAAACCUAACAAGCACUGUUCAACAUUGAGCGCCAUGGUGUACUCACCGUUAAUGAAGUAUCUCAGAAUACUGCAUGGAGCAUGGAUCAAUAUACAUCUUUGAGUCAAAUGUCUGUUCGAUGGUUGGAAGUUUUGAAGAACUUUUGCUGGAAGCAUUGUUCACUAACUAACUAAGCUGCAGUGGUCUGUCCGAGUUCUUUUAAUUCUCUAUGACAUAAUCUAGGUUAUGUAUGGUAGGAUUAGCCUACCGUGCAUUAGAUUUGUUGGGUGGGAGGGGGUGGGGGUGGGGGCGUGGGGGGGGGGGGUAAAAGAACAGAAUUUCUGAUAUUGAAGUUCCUUCUUUGCAACGACUAUUUAUAAGCAAAUGAUAUUGUAGACCAGUAAGAGGUUCUACAUCAUCAAGUUUAGAAACAACAUACACUGCUGACAUAUUAUCUUUUGGGAAUAGCUGCUGUCAUGUGGUAACUCUACAAAGAAGUAGGUCAAAGAGAUGGGUUAAGAAUACAAGUAUACAGGUUACAGUGAGCUGCAAAUGAGCCUAAUCAAACUUAUUAUUAUUGCAAUCCUUUCUGUGCUGUUACAACGGGAUGUUGUAAGUCACCUGCAUUAACUGGGAAUUAGUUGGUUGAUUGAACAAGUGAAAUUAACCACUAUUGGAUCUGGAGGUCAAGUGAUGGAUUGUUGGUUUGGAUGCUGUUGGAGAGGGUGCUUUGGUGUGCAGUCUCUUUUCUGAGGCAGGCUUUGGCAGUCUUCAGAAACAAAGCAUUGUUUCUUACUGAGCUCUUUGUCAGCUAUCAUCUAGUGUUUAAUAUUUGUUGGAGUAGGGUUCCUUGAGUGAAAUCGACAUUAUGUUAUCAGAUAUUAGUAAACAGCAUUUGAUCACCAAUAGUGCAUAAAAAGGUUUACACUAUUGAGCAAAAUGGGAGGGUGACAGUGAAUUCUGGGACAGGGAUUGUAAGUGGGAGGGAAUCAGCACCAGUUGGUUGGUUUGGUGCUUAUGGUGAAAAAGAAGGGGAAUGAAGGGAAGGGCGGUUAAUUUUUAGGACAAAGAUAGAACAUGGAAAAGCUUGGCUAUCAGUUUUCAUGUGCCCAUUUUUCCUCUAACAGCAAGCGUAAAAGCUUGGUCUGAGUUUUGAAACAAUUUUCUUUUAACAGCAAGCACGAAAGCUUGGUCUAAGUUUUGAAGCAUUUGUCUUCUAACAGCAAGCAUCAAAAGCUUUUUCUAAGUUUUAAAUUAGGGAUUCUGGAAUUGAAGAUCUUUCUUCUCUACUGCUGGAGCAAACAGUAAAAUGAACCAUACAGUUAGGUCCAUCUGUUUUUUUGUACAAAAAUAUUAUACUUGAGGACCAUGACCAUGAGCAGUCAAAAUGUAUUUUCUGGAUGUUAAUAACUUAUCAGUUAAUGACAAAUGUUUAAUACAUCUAUCAUUGAAAUCCCAUGCCUACUCUUGUAGUUCUGAGUACUUGAGUUAUCUUAGUACAGUAUCAAUUACAAUUUCUAGUUGUUUGCCCAUGUUUGUGGGUCCAUCUGUUAGUGAUUAAAAUUAAUUAACAUUAGUGCACUAUCUAUCUUUGGAAUGUAAGCCCAAACCUGCAAUUUUGACCAUUUGAUUUAUCUUAGUAGUUAGCACAAUCUCCUUUGCUAUCGUCUAGUUGUCUCAAAAAGUUUUUUGUGAUGAUACUGCAUUUCCUUGUCUUGUUGCUUAACUAUCUAUCUUGCAUUCCUUUUAAUUCUAUUCUAAUAACUUUUUAGCCGAGUGCAGCAUAACGUUUAUUCUGAGUCGAACGUUGUACUAAUAUAUCUCAAAUAUUGUUCUCUUCUUUUCACGCUGCCCGAGCACGAUCCAAAAAUUGUUGGAAGCAUUGCUGCUUCUAUUGGCUGUGCUUCCCAGAAGAGCUUGAGCGUAGAAUAGGUGAGAUGCAAUUGUGCAAGAGCUGUGUAGCUACACGGGGCUUGCUGUAGCCACUGUGUACCGCAGUUUGGUGAACUGCUUUGUGUGGUAAUUCUGCUACUGACUGUCUGCCUGAUCUUUUGUUCUUUUUGGAUCGCUUGUAAAAGAACGGAAACACCUAUGUACAGAGCUGUUGAGAAUUCAUAAGCUGUGCGGUUGUUGUGAUGAUGCAUGAUCUGUGAUCCUAAUGUUGCUUGCUGUGAACUUGUUUAUUUUCGUAUCCUGUUUUCCGUUAUUAUCCUGUGGCGUUUGUCAUGGCAUUGAUCAUGCUGCGGGUUAGGUUGGUCUUUGUUUUGAAUCUGCUGUUUUGGUCGAUUGCUCUCUUGUCUGGUAUGCUUCAGGCACAUGAGAAGCACUGGUAAAUUUGUGCGCAUAGUGCACGCCUUACCGAGUUCUCCGUUACCUUUGUUUUUACCAAAAUCAUACUGUCUGGGACCGCUGGAGCCUGGAUCUUCCACACGCAGCCAGGCAUGGCGGCGGAACGAUGGUGCCGAUGCGGCCGGAAUUGCAGCGCGUAAACCAUCAGAGUCCCGGAAACACUCGGGCAGGCGGGUUCCAGACUUGCAACGUCCACCCUGCCGUCUGCCAUCACGGAUUCACGGCGCAACAAUUGAC